AUAAAAUAUUCUAUUUUCUUAUAAAACAAUAUUUAUAGAGUUAUCGGUAAAUAAUUUUUGUAGCAUAAAAGCUAAAUAAAUUCAUACAUACUGUAAUACAAAUAACCAAAGUAUAAAAUUUAAUUUACAGUGACACGUGGGCCCACGAACGACCAAAAGUAUCAAAAGCGGUAAACCUACAGUUUUUGAGGAUGCAAGUCCAACUGUAGACCUCAACAAAGUGAGCUAUCUACCGACUAUUCUGAGCCUAAAAUGGGUGGAAAGGAGAGUGGUGAGAUUAUAUAAUCCCAGUGAGUAAACAAAUGCCAUCUAAAAUAUCUAAAGCUAAGUAAAUGGAGACAAAUUAAAAUAAAUCAUCAUAUUGUAAUUCAUCACCUUUAAACUCAUUUUAACCAAAUAAAGUUAAUUCAUAUAAAUCGAGUAAUCAACAUGGCUUAUGAAUUUCUUAAAACUUUGGCUCGUGCCAUAAUCAUUCUUAUACUCAGUUAUCAGGGAUACCUUGGCCUGGGGUUAUCCCAACCGAGUCCGCCAAGGCUGUUAGAAAGUCAUGUACUCAUAAAUCAUGUUUUUAUUUUGAAAACAUAGUCGUUCCUUGGUGUUGGCUGAGUUCACCCUCACGUGGUAGUUGGUGUGAAGUGAACUCUAAAGUUGUACCUCGAGAGUUACCCUACACGCCUCUCCGACAGAGGUAAAAAUAUAAUGGGGUUACCGUACCCCUCUAAUAGGCUGGUCCACGGAACCCGCCCACUGCAGCAAGCUAAACCCACCAUACAAUAAAAUUUACAACAGCAUGACAUGGCAAUUAUAUCACAGCCCUGCCUCUCAAGGGUAAAUACACAGUUCAUAUAUUUCAAUACAAAUACCAAUUCAACCAUUCAUGCAAAUAUUGUCAUAAGCCAUUCGAUUCAAACCAUGAAUUUACAACACAUGAAAAUAGUCUCCAAUUACUCUAUUUUCAAACCAUCAUUUCAUUUCAAGACAAUGUUAUAAAAUCAUUUCAUUAAAUCACAUUUUAAUUACAAAACAUAAGGAUUUACCAUUUAACUCAUUUGCCAUUAAAUCACAAAAUCGGAUAAAAAUCACUUUAGAUAAUUAAGAUGAUAGUAAGGUUACUCACUAUUUCUGGAGUCGAAUUUUGAGUACUCUGAUUCUUGAUCCUCGGGUACUAUCUCUUUACUUUUGCCAAAAUGCUCACCACCUAGACAUAAUGCAUAAUAAGCCAUUUACUACAUUUGUGCUAAAUUGUUAUAAAACCAAUUCAGGCUCUAUACUAAUGCAUGAAAUGAGAUGUAAAUUGUUCGGAUUAUCAUCCAAACACGGUGUUCUACACAAAUUCAAUUGUGUACCUAAAUAAAACGGUAUUGGCCUAAUUCGAUCUAUCACUCGAUUAAUUGGCCAAUAUGUCCAAUUCAAAUCCAAUAAUUUCAUUUUUCUCCCAAAACUUCAAAUCACCAAACACAAGUUAAAUAACAUAAAAUUUAGCAAAACCAUCCUCACAUUUCUUCUUGAGAAUUUUGGCCAUGGUGAGUGCAUCAACACUGUGAUUUUUCCUACUUGAUUUUCUCACCAUAAUUCAUCAUUUCCUAACCAAUUUACUUGAAAUAAAAUCACAUCCACCAUCAACACUCUACAAGGAAGAUUCAGUCAAUGAUGAACUCAUGAGGAAUAUGUGAAUUUCAAGCUUAAUUCUUACACUUAACACCAUAAACAACUAAAAACAUCCAUAUAUCUUAAAAAUCUAUCUAAAUCAUCAUCAAAUUCUCUCUCCUAGGGUUUGAUCAGCACACUAUCCUUCAUGAUAUCUUGUGAUUCAACCAUGGAAAAUGCAAAAGAAUGUAUGGGAAAGGUAGAUCACAAGUCAAAAUCAAGAAAUUUUACCUUUGAUUGCUUAAUUACUUGAAAUCCACCAAUUUUCUCUUGAAUUUUCACCUUAGGGUUCUUGUUCUUUCUUUUCUUCCUUUGUUCUUACUUUGGGCGGCCAUAAUGAAGAGAAAUAGGCUGAUUUUGUGCUAAUUUAUAAGGAAAAUAAUAUAGAAAUAAAGCUUGACACUUGUCACCUUACCAUUAGUCCAUUUUUAAAUUCUUAACUAUUAAGCUUUCUUUCUCCACCACAUAAAAUCCUUCAAUUAUCUGUGAUAAUAAUGGGUGAAAUUCAUGUGCUGGACAAGUGUUGGGUGGUGCAAAAUUACAAUUUUGCCCUUAAGGUGGCAAAAUGACUAUUUUGCCCUUAGGCUCGAAAAAAUGCCGAAAUUAAAAUUUUUCACUUCUCAAACUCAAAUUAUGUUCUAAAUAGUCAAUAUUGAUCAAAAACUUCUUCCAACAUUCCAAUUUUUAACCUUGGGUGGCAAAAUGACUAUUUUGCCCCUAGGUCAUGAAAAUUCCAAUUUGACUCCAAAUUGGUUCUCGAACUCCGAAUCACCAUUUUAAGUCAUUCUGGAGUUUUAAAAUUCUUGAUUUCAUCUUAAAAUCUCUAUUUGGACUAGUUCGAGGCUUAAUUCAACUUAAUUGUACCAUUUGGUAAAAUACCGUCCUUUAACUAUUUUCAAGGUACCCAAGUAAGCAAACAUGUAUUCUUAUAUAGGAAUGGCAUAAUAAACAUAUUGUAGAGCUGGGCUUGACAACGAUGUUUGCUGCUUUCGCAUUAUGAGCACGGGCUUGUGUAGAUUAACAUAAUAUUUGCUUCUAUACAAUGUAAUCGAGUUUAUACUUGCUUGACAUAUGAUUCGAUGGUGAUAAUUACCGUGAGGCACAUAUGGUUAUUGGUUUAUUUGUUUAUCAUUAGGCUUGUAAAGGUUAAGAGGGUCACUCCCAUCGACACCCUUGCGUUACUCAUGGUCCAGGAUUUGGGUCAUGACAAUUGAUAUCUUAGCAAAUAUGGCAAAUAUGAUUAUAAGCCCAUGAGAUUUGAAUUCCUAAUGAGGAUCUAAUGUCAUUAUGCCAAACAAGUGAGGAAGAGUCCAAGCAUGAGAAAUAAUGGAAGAUGUUGUUUGAUGGAGGCUCGAAUGCUUUUGUUUGAUAAUGUUAGCUUUAUAAAUAUGGAGAAAAGUUCCAAGAGUGGGGUUGAAUUGGAUUACUAAAAAUUUGUUUCUCAAAAUUAAAUUUCCAAGGAAGGCAAUCUAAAAACUUUUUCAAUAAAGAAAAUUUAAAAGCAAUUUUCUAAAUUUGUGUUUUUCAAUCAAAUUACUCAAAGGAUAAAUUAAUGAAUAAAUCAAUGGAAAAACAAUAUGAAAACUAAUUUCUCAAACUCUUCAAGGUAAAUUAGAAUCCUCAAAUGUGAAGGGUGAGGAGUACGAGAAGAAUAAGCAAGUUGUAAACAAAUAAAAUUUGAAUACGAAUGAAGUUUCCAUAAGUUUAACUUUUAAUGAAGCCAAGCUUGAAUACAAGUUUCUCAAAUUUUGUUUUCACUUUAACACAUGCCAAAAGUAAUUUGAUAAACAAAAUAAUGUAUAAGCAAGUUGUAAACAAAUUUCAAACUUUUCAAAGUAAAAUGCACAUGUUCAAAGAGUAAAAGGUAAAGAGAAAAUGCACAAAGAAUUUAUAAAGGUUCAACCUCUCUAUAAGUGCCUACGUCAUCUUCCUUAGCAAGCUAAAGAGCUUUAAAAAUCCACUAUGCAAGAAUGCUUUUUAAAGCUCAAGCAUAACCUUUACAAUGCCAUUUCACAAGAUCAAGGACAAACUUUAUAAUGCCUUUUUCAAGGAUCAAGCACAACCUUCACAAUGCUUUUUUUUAAGAAUUAACACAGCCUUCACAAUGCCUUUUUCAAGGAUCAAGCACAACCUUUUUUCUCUUACAAUUUUGAGUAGCAAGGUUACCUCUAGAAAUGGGUUUUGUAGAGUAGGUUCAAUUUAGGAAAAGUGUUAGGAAGAUAAGCUUAAAGUAAAGUAACCAAGAGAGGGGUGAGUUGGUUAUGAGUUGAAAAUUCCCCCUUUUUUAAAAGAACUCUGAAAAUGCAAAGGAAAUAUAAGGAAUAUGUUGGCUCCAUUAGUUUUUGAUGACAAUAAAAUAUUCCCAUUUAUGUGCGUCUAAUACCUUUACUUGAGUGUGCAGGAAAUUAAUAUAUGAAAUUAAUUUAUUGACUCUUCAAAGAGUAUUUUUGAAAGAAAAAGAGGGAUAAAAUUAACAAGAUGUAACUGAAUAACAAGGAGGAAGCUUAUUGGCGAAACAAGGAAGAACAUUGGUUGACCAAAUUUCAAAUUGGAGAAAUGACGGGCUGAAGAAUUUGAGAAAUAGAACCAACUUAGUCAACCAAGUCAGUCGACUAAGUGCCCUCUGCCAGAAUCUGCAAAUCAGAAACAGAAUCAACUUAGUCAACCAAGCUAGUAGACUAAGAGCUCUCUGUCUGCAAUUUGAACCAAAGCACUAUAAGACAGAUUAACGGCUAGAACUUAUCCUCAACUGUUUCCAACGGCCAUAAACUGUCAAACUGCCAUCAGAGUUGCAUCUCCAAGUAUAAAAGGGUCUUCCAACAAUGAGAAACAAGUUUUUAGAAGCUUUGAAUGAGAUUUGAGCUUUAGAAAGAAGAAAAACCAGAAAAGCUUCACUGCACUUGUCUGCACUUAAACGCUUACUCUUUGUCAUUGUAUUUAGCACUCAAUCUUGUACCAAUAAGAUCAACUUGUAAUCAUAGGUACUUUCUGUAACCUCUCUUCUCGUAUACUUAGAGUGAGGGAGUCACUCUAACGGGUUGUUCAAGCUUGGGAGAGCUUGAAUGUUAUAGGUUGUGGUUAAGCCUUGGAAAACCACUUUGGGUUUUAGUUGAGCCCGUGAAAAACUAGUGUAAAGGUAUUGGCUGAGCCUGUGAAAAGCCAUUAUAAAAGUUUAGUGAAAGCUUGUUAAUUUCACCUGAUUCUUAGUGAAUCGUUGGGAAAAUCCUUGGUUUGAUAAUCAAGGUAGUGGAUGUAAGUUUUGGAUCGAACCACUCUAAAUUGCUGUGCACUUUAUAUUCUGUUUUUACUUUCUUAAGUUCUAGAAAUUAGUUCUACAUCUUGUAAAGACCAAAUUGUCCUAUUCACCCCCUCUCUAGCACAUAUUAACAGGACCAACAAAAUAGAGUAGCAAAAAACAAAGUAUGAACUGAGAAAGUAAAAUACAAAAAGAUAAAGGGUACUUAGCCGAAUUUUUAUAGAGGUUCAUCCUUCCAAUGCUUAUUUCCUCUCCCUUGAUAGUACAAAAAGUUCAAAUCCAUUAUCAACUUGCCAUUUCAAUAGGAUUAAACGUAACCUUUACAACAUGCCCUUCAACAAGAUCAAGUGUAACUUUCACAACAUGUUUUUUCAUGGGAUCAGGCAUAACCUUAACAAAAAACACUGCCCUUUCAGGUUUAAGCACAACCUUUACACAAGAUACAACCUUUUCAAGGAUCAGGCAAAACCUUUCUACCUUUUUCGUGGAAGUAUAACCAAUACAAUAGUGGAUUCUCAAUAAAUACAAACUUAAAACCUCUAUUAUGACUAAUAAGAUGCUUAGGUUUAGAAAGAAAAGAGCUUUCUCAAGAAAAAUGAAUGAUGAAAGGAAGUUUGAGCUCAAAGAAUAUUAGUUAAAUGAAAAAAAUAUGAUCUUUAGGUUCUGCUCUACUCAAAAAUGGGAUUUUUUUGCUCUUUCCUCUCUUGUUUAUUUUCCCUUUUUUUUUAACUUCAAAAUCUUUCAAAAUUGUUCAAAUCACACCUUUAACAUCCUUAAAGUGGAUAUUUAUAGGCCCUAUGAUUUCUUACCUAUUGUAGUGAAAUUUGAAUCAACUUUUGUAUGUUCUGACCAACAUGCACAUUUUUGACGCACGUGGAGAAUUGAUUCUUUAUCAUGAGUUGUCAAUUCUCCAUAAAGUUUGGAACUUACUUUCUCUAAAGAAUCAAUUUUUUUUUUGAGAUGUCAGUUCUUCAUAAAGUCUGAAACUUUUGUUUCUAAAGAAUAAAUUCUUUUUUUCAAAGAUGUUGGCUAUUCUUCAACUUGGUUCAAAGGUGACAACUUUGCAUUUUUGGAGAAUCAAUUCUUCUGCCUCAAAGUGUUGGUCAUUAUUGACUAGAACCAAAAUUUAAAUUUUACCUUUACCUUGACUUUUGAAGCUCCAAUCUUAUCCAUUCACACCAUCUCUUUCUUGUUCACCAAGUUUCUGAUUCUUACUUCUAGUGCUUCAAAAAUCGAUAUUUCUUCAUUUUGAAUCGAUUCUUUGUUUUCAGAUUUGUGCUUUCUGGUUCAUUCUUCGCUCAGAACCGACUUUUGCUAUAAAGAAUCAAUUCUUUCUUCUUACAGUUUUGCCUUCUACAUUGUGUUCUCCUAGAAUUGAUUCUUGUUCUCUAAGGUGUUGGUUCUUCUCAAUUCCAAUAGCUUUUACUUUCCAAGAACUAACUUUUUUUUUGCUCAAAAUCAAUUCCUCACUAUUUUUGUCUACUAAGAACUAACUUAUCUUAUUUUUAGAAUUAAUUCUUCCUAUGAUAAACAAAUAAAUUUCGCUUGCUUCACAUUUAAAAAUCAAAUCCUUACUUUUGAGAAUUCAAUUCCUAAGCUGGCACUUUGAGUUUGAAAACAAAAACUCUUUAGGAAAGCUAAGAAGCAUAUCUUUAAGUUCAAAAGCAUUAUCAUUCACUUUCAAAGCAUAUUCAAUCAAUCUCAGCAUUUCAAGGUAUUUUUCUUUGUAAGACUAACUUCAAAACAUCUUUGAGGAUUUUUUUUGGAUUCAAAAACAUCUUUCAUUCAUUUUCAAAGCAUAUUUAGUUCAAUCAAUUUUUCCAUUUCAAAACUAGGAUAAAGAUAACAAAGAGUAUGAUGAGUACAAAGAUGUAUCAAAGAAUAGGAAUGAAAGCACAAAGAAUUUAAAGCUUAAGCAUAGCUUUAAAUUUAAGUGGAAGAAUGUGAAUUGCUUAGUCAUGCUUAGUUUUUCUUUCUUUCAUAUAUGUUUCUUCAUAUGAUUUGAUACUUGAGUAUUUGAUAUUUUUCUCCACUCUUCUAACCUCUAAAAUGUGUUGGAGAAGUCCUUUUUAUACUUGAAAAAGGUUUGGAGUUGUUGGCGAUGAUUUGGUGCAGAAACUAGUUGUUUGUCUUCAAUUUUCAUGUCUAACGGCUAUUUUUGGAGCUUUAGGAUUAAGCUUGGUGUUUAAAGGUGCCUAUCCUUACUUGAAAUUUUACACUAUAGGAUCGAGCUUUUAAACCAUGGAUGUCAAUCCUCCAAGCUUCUAGUGCCCUUUUCGCUUUCUACCUUAGGAUCAAGUUUUAAGGCCUAGGUGUCAAUUCUAGACCAGAAGCUAUGUUUGCUCUCUGUUUCCUUUAGGAUCGACCACUCAUCAUGAUGAGCUCGAUCCUUAUAGUUGAAAACUUGAUGUUUUGAAGGCUUUUGAUUUCUUCUAAGUGUUAAAGACUUGUCAAACAAUUUAUAAGACUUUGGGGAGUUAAUCAAGUAAAUCAAAUCAUUUCAAAAUGCUUGUGUGAAAAUCUUAAUUAAUGUAAUUUUUUCAAAUCAAAACAUAUCAGUUUUAAAGCUAUCAAUCUCCUUCUUUUGAUAUAACAAAAUUCUAAGCAUAAUUUGCAUUUGAAAACUCCCCCUAACUCUACUAGUCUACAAGCCCUUAGUUAGGGAAAAAAAAUUCAAGAACAAAUGAGAAGGGUUUUUGAAAUGAUCUUUCAAUAAAAGUCUUUUAUCCCUCAACAUGUGCAUUUUAUUUUUCAACGAAAUCUUCUCCCCUUCAACAUAUGUAUUUAGUUUUCAAAAUGUUUUAGCUAUAAGUCAAUAAAAGCAUGCAAAUGUGGUCAUAAACCUUUUCCCCCUUUUGUUAUAUCAAAAAGGAAGAUAUAAACAUAACAAGCAAAAGUUGCAAAACAUAAUAAGCAUAAUAAGGAACACACCAAUUGUUAGAAAUAUAUUCAAUGAGCUCACAAUACCAAUUGUUAAGGAUCAAUAUAAGACUCAAUAUACCAAUUGAUAGAUAUGAGUAAAACUCCCCCUUGAUAAAAACAAAUAAACACAAACCCAAUUAUGAGGGAUAGAACAAUUAUAAAGUUCAUUAUAGCAAUUUUACAAAAUACUAGUGAAGGCUCCCCCUUUUUAAAAGGACAUUAAGCAUACCAAGCAUAUCACUUUGUUAAUUGCAAAGCUCAAACAAAUUAAGAAAGAUAUGAUCAAUUUUAAGCUCAAGUGAAAAGAAACAACUUUAAAACUUGAUGCCAAUUUAAAGCUAGAUAUCAAUUGAGAAAGCUUAAAGAUUAAUACCAAUAGUUUGAAUGAAAUUAAAAACUUGAAAUCAAUUGUUGAUUUCAACAUUCAAGCAUAAGCAAGGAGCAUAGAAUCCAUGUAAAGCACAAUAUCAAUUUGGUGUUAGAAAGAUAUUACGAAUAAUGAAGAGCACCAAUUAUUACAUUCUCACCACAACUUGUUGUUGAAGAUACCAAAUGCUAAUGACACCAAUUUGAAAUAAAGUAUGAGACAAUUGCACAUAUGUGUGGCAAUGAUUAAUUCUGCCUCAAGAAAUCAUAAGGUCAACACCAAUUGUUAAUGAUCAAAACAUGAUACAACAAGGAGAAUGAAUAAAGGAGAUAAUCACUUUAAAUCAUAAUCAAACUUCCCCUUAGAGAAAUUAUGAAACCAAUAAGUUACCAAUUGUUAAGAGAGAAAUCAUAAGCAUAGAAUAAAUGAGUAUUUAAGUAUAUAUUCAAAUAUGUUCAUCUUAUACUCAAGUAUUCAUAGAACUAAAUGAGUAUGAGUAUUUAAAUAGAUGUUCAACAUAUGCAUCAAAACACUCAUAUUUUAAAGCAAUAUAUGUAAAUAAGUUCCAAGGCAUCAUUAGUCAUCAAGCAUUAUUCUCAAAUAUCAUCAAGCAUUAUCCAUCAUCGAGUACCAUCAAGCAUUCAUUAUGUAUUCAAUAAUCAUCAUCAUCAAGCAAGCAUUACCAAACAAUAUUAAUCAAUCAUUUUAAAUGAAUUCUCUAAAUUGGUCAAAAAUAAUUAAGAGACUUUCAAGCUGGGUAAUUUGCGGAGUCCAUCAUUCUAGUGGGGGUUAAAGAAUUUGCGUCCAAUUAUCUGGGAAUGAAGUAAGAAUAUUUUUGGGGAUAUGGUACAUAGAAUUAAAUUGUUAAAGUUAGAAAUUCAAGAUCUGAAAUCUAAAUGGCAAAAUAUAGGGGAGGAGUUUGUUAAACAUGAUAUGGUGAUGAGAAAAUGCAGUGAGUUGUGGAAUUUGUACAGAUCAGAGGAGCGUAAAUGUAUAUAGCAAUCUAGAAUUAAGUGGGUGACGAAAGGGGAUAAAAAUACAAGAUAUUUUCAUGCCAUGACCUCAAAGGUAUAGUGUUAAUCGUAUUGUGAAAAUUAUAGUGAAUGGUGAAAUAGUUGAAUAGCCAAAUCAAAUUAAAUAUGAGAUAGUAAAGCAUUUCCAUAAAUUGUAUAAUGUUAGGCACACAAUGAGGUUGGGAAAUUUACGACGUGAUCUUCAUAAAUUAAAAAGAUCUAUUAUAGAGGAAUUGAAGAUGCCUUUCUUAGAAUCUAAAGUUUGGGAUGUGAUCAAAGAUAAUGAUGGAAAUAAAGCUCCAAAGCCAGAUAGAUUUAACAUUAGUUUCCUUAAAUCCCAAUAGGUAGUGAUAAAGGUUUAGGUAAUGAAAUUCAUUGCUGAUUUUUUUUCUACUGGUUAACUUGGUUGAGGUGUAAAUGAGAGCUUUAUUACCUUGAUCCCUAAAAAAAAAAACCCUAGCUCCAUUGGAGAAUUUAGACACAUUAGCUUGGUUAUGUCUACAAACUUAUUGCAAACGUCAUAGCUAAUCAACUUAAAAAGGAAAUGGAUGAAGUGAUUGAGGGCUAUCGAUUUGCAUUUGUAAAUGGAAGAUAACUUCUUGAUUCAUUGUUAAUAACAAAUGAGAUAGUUGAUCAUUAUCAUAAAAGCUCUAAUGGUUGGUUAAUGUUGAAAGUAGACUUUGAAAAUGCAUAUGGAUAGCUGUUAGAAAAGGAAGCUUGAGAUAUAACAACCAAAAAGGGGAUGAAUUGGCUAUCAAAUAAAAAUUUCACCUUUCCUUGAAAUAUGGUUAAAGAUUAAAACUUUAAGCACAAAACUUGGAAAACAAUCAAUAUAAACAUAAGCAAGCAAGAUAUGCAGCAAAUAUAGGGAAAGGGAAAAAAAACUUAACCACGAUUUUUAUAGAGGUUCGACCUUUCAAUGCCUACAUCCUCUCCCUUGAUAUCACAAAGAGUUUGAAUCCACUAUCAAUUGUCUUUUUCAACUAGAUUCAAGCAUAACCUUUACAAGCAACUGCCUUUUAAGGAUCAAGCACAAUUUCUUAACAAGUCAUUACUUUUUCAAGGUUAAAGCACAACCUUUUUACCUUUUCAAUAGAGUUAUAAUCAAUUCUACUUUUUCAAGACUCAAGUAUAACCUUUCUACCUUUCCAAGGAGGUAUAACCUUUCUACAAAGGAUUACAAGCUUUGAUGCCUCUAGAAAGGCUAAUCAACUUAGUUUAAGUACAAGAAGAUGUAGCUGAAUCAAAGAAUUUAAGCUUAGACAAGGAUGCUCUGUUUUGAGAGUUUGUUUUAGAAUGAGAAUGUUAAAUCAAAGAAUUUAUGCUUAAACAAGGAUGCUCUAUUUUGAGAGCUUAUUUUAGAGUGAGAAAGGAAUAAACUUUUUAAAAUGGAAUCCUUGUUCUCCUCUUGGAAUGAGUUUUUGCUCUCGUUUCUUUCUUAUGUGCUCCCUCUCUCUUUGAAUAAGGCUUCUUGAAAGGUAUUUACAACCUUUCUCAAUUUCAUCUCGUUGAAACAAGGAUAAGACCAUUUUUUGAAUUUUUGGGACCACUUGAAUCACGCCAGUCAUGCCAUAAGAAUCGAUUGGUAGCCAUUUAAGAAGUCGAUUCUUUUGUAUCCUGGGUCAUUUUCUUGCUUUAAUUUUGAGCUUAAUGCUCUCUGUGUGCCAGGAAUUGAUCAUUACAUUCUUGUGUAGUUGAUUUACUUCAUCCCACUUUAAGUCUGGAGCAUUUUGUUCUUGCAAGAAUCGAUUUGUGCCUUCCUUAAAAGUUUAUCCUCUUUGUCCUUUGAGUGCCAAACUGAAAUUUCAAAAUUUGUUUUCCCCACUCAAGGCUUCUUAUUUUUCCCUUUUGGUUUCUUCAACAAGUUUCUAAACUUUCUUAAUUGUUGCUUAAUGAAUCGAUCAAUGGAUACUAGGGAAGUCGAUUCUUUAUGUUCAAUGGCUCUUCAUUAUGCUUUUACCUUCUUAGGAAUCAACUUUUGCUUCUUAAAAGAUCAAUUUUUUCAAUUCAGUAGCUUUCUAUUUCUUCAAAUCGAUGAUUCCUUUUUUAAUAAGCUGAUUCUUUUUUGUUACAAAGAAGAAAUAUUACUUUCUGUUUUACAAGGAAUCGAUGUUUCACUUUCAGAAGUUGAUUCUUACUUAUUAGAACUUUAGUUUUAAAGCAUUCAACUGAUUUUGCUUUUCACAAACAACUUUAAAACACUUAAAGGAAAGGCCUUCCAUUCCAAAAUCAUUUCCUUUUAACUCUAAGACAUAUUUAAAUCAUUGAAUUUUGUCAUUUCAAAACUAGGGUCAAUUUCAAAUUUAACAACAGUGUUUGUUGGGAGUUUCUUGAUUUCACCAUGGACAAAAUGGGGUUUGGAAUUAAAUGGCAGCAAUGGAUUAUGAAGUGUGUUACUUCUACUUCAAUUUCUAUCUCACUGAAUGGUACUCCCACAAAACCUAUUAAAUUGCAAAGGGGCCUCAGACAAGGCUAUCCUUUGUCCCUUUUUCUUUUUAAUCUAGUGGUAGAGAUUUUUAGUUGGAUGAUGUGUAAGGCAAAGGUAAAAGGCAUUUGUAGUGGAGUUGAAAUUAAGAAACAUGGGAUUAAACUUACUCAUUUGCGAUUUACAAAAAUUGAACUCAAAAGAAAUCUUUUUGGAUGGGAAUUUCAACUAUGACAUAGAUGUGGAGCAUUUUGAAAAAGUUGACACUUGGUGAAAAUUUUAAAGAUGGUAUCAUUUGGAAGGCUACGUCAAGUGGUAAAUUCUCAUCUAAAUCAUUUUGUCAAAUUGUUUGUAACCAAUACUCUGCAAACAAGGAACUAUGGCUGAAGAUAUGACUUGGUUAUGCUCCUUACAGAGUUGAGGUCUUCAUCUAGCAAUUGAUGUGGCAAAAAAUUACUGUUAAAUUAUAAUUGGCAAAAAGGAAAUUAAUUGGAGAUGAACAGGUAAAUAUGGUUAUUUCAUAAGGUAUGGAUACUAGCCUUUUAUGCUAUUACUUGGACAAUAUGGCUAUUUCGUAAUGAGAUUGUCUUUAAUGGAAAAUUUUGGGAUGCUUUACAAGUUUAUGAUCUAAUCAAGUUACGAGUAGAUACUUGGAGUAAGGCAAAUUGGUUGGAUUUGAUGAGCAAAUAAAUGAUAUGUUUCAUAGUCAACAUAGAACUAUAUUGCAACAAAGACAACUCUCAAUUAGACUAAGUGUUUAAUGGAAAGCUUCCCCAAGAGGAUGGGUUAAAUUUAAUGUAGAUGGCGAUGCAUUAGGUAAUUUGGGACCAGCUGGAAUUAGAGGAGUAUUACGAGAUCGUAAUGGAACCUUUGUCAUGAAAUUCUCUAGAUCAAUUAAUGAGUGACUCUAAUUAUGCUAAACUACAAAGCUAUCAAUGAAGCUUUUUUCUUAUUUGCUAACUAUGUGAAGCAUAAUUAUGUUAAUCUCUAGAUAGAAAGUGAUUUUAUGAAUGCUAGAUAGAAAGUGAUUUUAUGAAUGCAGUUAAAUGGACCAUUAAGCCUUUAAAAGCACCAUGGAGAUGUAGGCAAUGCAUAGUUCAACUUUCUAUUUAUCAAUCAUCAAUUGCAAAUUGGAAAAUAUCGCAUAUAUUAAGAGAAGGUAAUGUCGAAGUUGAUAAGUUAACCAAGACUCUUUGAAAUAUUAGACUUCUGAAUUUAACUAGACAGGGAUAAUUAGUUGAUAUGGGACUCUUUUAAAUUUUGAUUUGGAAGGGUCACUUGUUUAGAUUAAUCCACAUCUUAUUGAUAAUCAAUCCUAUUGAUUAUCACUAAGAAUCAAGCAUGCAAAUUACAUGAAAAACAUCAAACAAAGGCUCUGAUACCACUGCUAGGAUUCGACCUCAUGCUCAAACAUGAAAAUAAUCAAUAAAUUAAAACAAUAUAACGUAACGAAAUAAUAAACUAGCAUUUAAUUAGAGAAAUAACCAAGUCCUACAAGAUUAGUGUUUGUGAUUUUUAAUGUAAUUUUUUAAUUAAUUAUAAACAUUCAUAAGUUUAAAAGUUACAUACCUUGCUCUAGAAUUCGUAAUCAAGAGCCAAUUAAAUCAAAAUCUUUGCUUCUUCACUUUUAGGAUUUGGCAAAUCUUCAGCCACUUAAGUGUUUGGCCUCUAACAGUAAUCUACAUAGUGACUGAAUAAGACCUUCUUAAAGGUAGGAUUUUUACUUAUGCUAGUAAGUUUUGAUUCUAAAACAAAAAGACCAAAAAUUUUUGCCAAAUGUUAUUUUUGUCAAACAAAGAAAACUAUUUUUCUUUUUCUUUUUUUAUAAAAUAGCUGAGAAAUGGCUGGAGGCUUAAAGCUUUAGUUUGCUAACAUAAUAUAUUUAUAUAGCCAAACUAAGUUGUAACCUUAAAUACAACUGUUGUAUUUGAAUUUAAUUUGGUUUUUGUGAACUUAAUUAAUUUUUCACUUUAUUUUGAUCUAUUUUAAUUAAGACCAACUUAAUUAAUUAUCCUCAUUUAAUACCAAUCACGUCACUUAAUGUGUGUGACCCAUUAGGCUUCUAACAUAUUAGCUAUAAAUGUAGAUCCUAAUCAAAUAUCAAUUUGAUAAUUGAUUUAUAUUUAUAGAUCAUGAGCAGCAUCUAGCAAUACAUCAUGACCACCCAAAUGUUAAAGACUCAAUCAAAGAAUUUGACAAAGCCUUUUAGUGAUAAGCCUCUCAGUGCAAUACGAUCCUUUCAUCAAAUAUCUAGGAUAUGUCAUAAAGCAUGGCUCAAUGUCUACUUAUAACAUUCUAUAUUAGUUCUCAUAAUUCAUGACUAACCUUAUGAAUUUAGAAACAACUUUCCUCAAAUUCAUCAUGUUUUGGCCAAAACCUUUAAACAAGUUAAUCAAGAAUGGAGAACAAGUGUGAUACAUCUCCUCAUAUCACUUAGAGUGAUGAAUCCUCUCUUGACCACUCAUUCACCUUCACAUGCUUCAUGGCAUACCCAAAAACACCUUGUUUAGGCAUCUGGUUGUUUCCAAACCCGUAGGAGUGAAAUCAAAGUAUGUUAUUCCUUACACAAGAUAACCUGGUGUCUCAAGUCUAAGGGCUAGUUGCACAACUAUCACAAGAGAACAUUUUUCAUAGACACUUGAGUGAAAUAUCAAAUGGAGUUCUUAUAGCGGGUCAUGUUCAAUGAGCUUGUUCUUUAACAAGCACCUACAUGUUAUCCUCAAGUAUCCCAUAUACUUCAAUCUAUAAGAUCGAUUGCUUACUUCCCAAGUAACGAGGCUUUACAUGUACCAGUCUUUGAGCAUUGUCAAUGCUCUGUCUUGACAAUACAAUGACCAGGAACAAUUUUAGGAACAUGACUUUAAUGCAUAGUUAUCUCAUAAUUGUAACAACUUUACAAUUCUCUAUCUAGACCUUUAUGUGCCAUGAGUUUCAUCCAAUUAGUACUUAAUAACUCUUUAUUAUUGCACUAACGUGAAGGAAAACCUCUAUCACAUAUAAUUAUGCAAUUAAAUAUGCAUUAAAUGACAAUAUAUAUUCCUUGGCUAAUCUAAUUGGCUCAAGGGCAUACACCAACAAUAUAUACUUUAAAUAUAAACAUAUUUACUUUUAAUUUUGCAUUAACGUUAUAAAAAUUAUAACUUAUAGAAUUAUUAAUUAUAAUAUAUAUCUUUGUUUAUAUAAACUUAUAGUGUGUAUAUAUAUAUAUAUAUAUAUAUAUAUAUAUAUAUAUCUAAAGAGAAUUUAUGAGAUUAAAAUAGUUUUUGGAACCUAGCUAUUUUUUUUAAUUUCAUUUAAUUAAGGAUAAACCCAUAUAUUCAAUUAAACUUGUAAUGUUGUUUAAGUUGUUGUUUAGAUAUUUAUUUUUAGUUAUUUAAGUUGAUAUUUGAGAUAUUUGUUGUUGAUUAUUUAAAUUUAAAUUUUAUUAUUUGUGUAUUUUUAUAAAUUUAAUUAUUACUGAAUUAUAUAGAAUAUGGAUGAGAAAUAUUAUUGUAUAUGGAUAUGGGUAUGAAUUUAGGUUUAGGUAAUUAGAUACCCAUGAAAAGCAUUUUAAUAAUUUUUUUACAUAAUCGGAUUUUUAAACGAGUUCUAAUAAUUAUCGAGUAGUGGAUAUGUAUUAGAAUUCAAAUUAAGGUAGUAAAUUUUAAAAAUAUUCACAUAAUUAUAAAGUUAAGAUACCUUAUUUAUUAAUUGGGUUCGGGUAUUUCAAAAUUAGUAGGUAUCCUACUGUUGACAUCCCUAGACUUGCACAACUUGCACCUAGAUGGGUUGGAAUGAUAGUUUCCAAAUUCAAACAUGAAGUUCCAAGGUUUGCAAGACUUGCAUUUGGACGGGUUUAUUCAGACACAAAUGGGAUAAUGCUUUAUCGAAAAGCCAUUUUCUCAUUUGGACAAACUAAGUGAGAUGCUAAUAAUUGGAGUUGGGCAAAGAUUAAUGAUUUUGUCCAUAUUCUUUUGAGAUCAUUACUUAGUCUCCCUUAGCUACCUGAACAUCCCUAAAUCCAGGUUGAAAUUAUAUUUUUUAAAAAAAUAUAUAUACAAUUUUGCUAACUACCAAAAUCAAUUAAUUUUGGAGUUUAUGAGGACAAAAAUAAAAUACAAUAAAUAACCCCAUAUGUAAGUGCCCAAAAUUAGGGAGAUUUGGACAGUAAUUUUGGAUCAGCCCACAUCACGCAAGAACCCAUAACAAAAGUGUCAUGAUGUCCAAAAAAUUCGAACCAGCUGUAACAAUUUCGGAUAACAAGCUCACCUGUCCUUAUGCGUGAACACUGUCCAGCCAUGACAUUAUCCAAGUCAGUAGCUGUUCAAAGCAGCCCAUCCAAUGUGGAUUGAAGAAACCAUUCCAUAUUUUCAUUUUUCGAUAGGUAUGCGGGUUGAGAUUCUUUAGGGGUUAUUCUGUUUCAUUUUAUUGUAUGUUUUUUAUAUUUACAUGUAAGAGAAGUCUAAGGCCAUUUGUCUUGGCAAUGAACAAUAAAAUUGCAUAUUUCUCAAAACAAAAAAAUAGAAAAUAUAUGUAUAAAAGAAUAAAAAAAUAUAUAAAAAUAUAGUUUGAUAAAGAUUAAGAAAUAUAUAUAUAUAAAAAUACGUAUAAAGUGAAAUGAAAUGAUUUUAAGGUUAGUUGAUCAUAAUAAUAGUAUAAAAAUAUAAGCAUAAAGAUAAUAUAAAAAUGUAAAAUGAUAAACUUUCUAACCAUUUCAUAUCAUUAUUAUUCAUGCAUAAAUAUUCAUGUCAUGCAUUUUUGCGUAAAUAUUGUUGUACAACAAAUGAUGACUCUGAUGACAAGACUUUUGAGAAAGACUUGUAAGGAUAAGUCUCUCGGGAAACUCUUUAGGUGAGAGAGCUAUCUCAAAUUUUACCAGAAAGAUGGGAGGAUUCGAACUACACUUUCAACAAAAGGUCAUCAUUUGUGUUAAAUAAACCAAAAUUUGGAUCAUGAUAUAUUAUAUGUUUUGAAACGAAUGAUGUCUCUGAUGAUGAGACCUUCUUGAGAAGUUUGUAAUGAUAAACUUGUUUGAGAAAUUCUCUAGGUGAGGAUUCUUUCCCAAAUUUUACCAGAAAGAUUGAAGGAUUCAAGAAACGUUUUCAAUAAAAGACUUUUAUUCAUAUUUAAUAAAUUGUAAUGUGUAUCAUACCAUGUGAUGUUUGUUCUGUGCACAAUUGUCAACCUCGAUAAUGAGAUUUUCGUUGGGAUUCGACCUCAUGCUCAAAUAUGAAAUUAAUUAAGAAAUUAAAAAUAUAAUGCAGCAAAAAAUAAACUAGCAGUUAAUCAGGAAAACAGCCGAAUCCUACAAAAUCAAUGUUUGUGUUUUUCAUGUAAUUUUCAAAUUAAUUAUAAGCACUCAUAAGUUUAAGAGUUAUAUAACUUACUCUAGAUAUCAUAAGCAAGAGACAAUUAAAUCCAAAAGGCUUGUGGUGAAGCAAGAAACUUGAAUAGAGAAUAAGAAGGUCUGAAAUCUUGCCACUGAAAUUAUUGCUUCUUCACCUUUAGGAUUUGUCAAAUCUUCAGCCACUUAAGUGUUUGGCCUCUAACAGUAAUUCACACAGUGACUGAAUAAGACCUUCUCAAAGGUAGGAUUUUACUUGUGCUAGCAAAUUUUGUUUCUAAAAUAAAAAGGACCAAAAGUUCUUGUUGAAUCUUAUUUCUAUCAAAAAGAGAACUAUUUUUUUUCUUAUUUUAUGUAACGGCUAAGAAAUAGCUAGAGCCUUAGAGUUUUAGUUGGCUAACAUAAUAUAUUUAUAUAGCCAAACUAAGUUAUAACCUUGAUACAAUAAUUGUAUUUUAAUUCAAUUAAGUCCUUGCGAACUUAAUUAAUUUCCCUUUUUAUUUUGGUCUAUUCCAAUCAAGUCCAAUUUAAUUGAUUAUCCUUAUUUAAUCUUAAUCAUGUCACUUAAUGUGUAUGACCUAUUAAGCUUCUAACAUGUUGGUAAUAAAUAUAAAUCCUAAUCAAAUAUCAAUUUGAUAAUUAAUUUGUAUUUAUUGAUCAUUAGCGGUAUCUAGCAAUACAUUAUGACUACACAAAUGUUAAAGAGUCAAUAAAAGAAUUUGACAAAGCCCUUUAGUGAUAAUCCUCUCAGUACAAUAUGUUUUUUUCAUUAAAUAUCUUAUAUAUAUCAUAGAGCAUGGCUCAGUGUCUACUUAUAUAACAUUCCAUAUUAGUUCUCAUAGUUCAUGACUAACCUUAUGAAUUUAGGGAACUAACUUUUCUCAAAUUCAUCAUGCUUUGGCCAAAAACUUUAUACAAGUUAAUCAAGAAUUGAGAAUAAGUGAGAUACAUCCCCUCAUAUCACUUAGGGUGAUGAAUUAUCUCUUGACCACUCAUUCACCUUCGCAUGCUUUAUGGCAUACCCAAAAACACCCUAUUUAGGCAUCUAGUAGCCUUCAGACCAGUAGAGGUGAAAUCAAAGUAUGUCAUUCCCUAUACAAGAUGACCUGGUGUCUCAAGUUUGAGGACUAGUUGCACGACUAUCACAUGAGAACAUAUUCCAUAGACAAUUGAGUGAAAUACCAAAUAGAGUUUUCAUAACAGGCCAUGUUUAGUGAACUUAUUCUUUAACAAGUACCCACAUGUUAUCCUUAAGUAUCCCAUAUACUUCAAUCUAUGAGAUCAAUUGCUUACUUCCCAAGUAAAGAGACUUAACAAGUACUAGUCUUUGAGCAUUGUCAAUGCCCUAUCUUGACAAUACAAUGACCAGAAACAAUUUUAGGAACAUAGCUUUGAUGCAUAGUAAUCUCAUAAUUGUAAUAACUUUACAAUUCUCUUACAAGGCCUUUAUGUACCAUGGGCUUCAUGCAAUUAGUACUUAAUAACUCCUUAUUAUUGCACAACAUGAAGGAAAACCUCUAUCACAUAUGGUUAUGUUAUUAAGUACGCCUUAAAUGAAAAUAUAUAUUCCUUGACCAAUCUAAUUGGCUUAAGGGCAUAUACUAAUAAUUUCUUCGAGAAGCUUGUAAAGAUAAGUCUUAUCAAGGAUUUCUCUAGGUGAGAGGACAUUCUCAAAUUUUACCAAAAUGAUGGGAAGAUCCGAGAAAUGGCUUCAAUGAAAGGUUAUCAAUUAUAAUAAUUGAUUAUGAAUUUGCAUUUCUUUGACACGCGUGCACUAAUAUAUAAGCAAUGGUCUUGAUCAUGAGAUUUUCUCACGAAGCUUGAAAAGAUAAGUUUCCCGAGAAAUUCUCUAAGUGAAAGUGCACUUGUAGGUUUUACCAAAAGGAUGAGAGGACCCAAAAAAUACUUUUAAUAAACGAGAAAAAUCCAAAAAGCCCCGUUAAAACACUUCAAAAGGACAUAUUAGUCCUUCUUGUUAGAAAAUGAUAUUUUUGACCCCUUGAUUGUUCACACCAUUAGUCAACAGUUAAAAAAAUUAGACUUAAUACUACACAAAUAUUUUAAAACAUAAAUACUCUUUAUAUAUUUUUUUAAUUUAAGUAUAUUCCUUUUUAAAAAAAUCUAAUUAUCGAUCCCACAAAUGUUGGAAUGAGCCUUGCAGCCAAUUGAGAUUGGUCAAGGCUUACUUCCAAUCAUGCAAUCAUAUCAUUCACAUUGAAUGAUUAGAGAUUUUCCUUCAUCAAUAAGACAUCAAUUAUGAAGGUUAUAAGUCUAUUAAAUUAAGUCCAUGAGGUUAAUGUACCUUGCAAGGGAAUUGUAAUGGGUUACAAUUAUGAGAACCCUAUCCAUCAAAGCAUAAUGUCUAAAUGCUCUUGGUUGAUGUAUCGUUAAAAGUGGACAUUAAUGAUGAUUAGCAACUGAUGCAUUCUAUGUUCCUUACUUGGGAAGUAAGCAACCGAUCUCAUAGGUUGAAAGGUAGAGAUACUAGGAACUAAAAUGUAGGAGUUUGUUCUGUGAACAAGUUCACUGAACAUUAACCGACAUGAGAAAUGCAUUUGGUAUCUCACUCUAGUGUCUAUGCAAUAUUCUUAUGUGUCAAUCGUGUAAAUACUCCUUAGAGUUGAGACACCAGGUUGCCUUAUUUAUGGAGUGUUAUAUAUUUGAUCAUAUCACUACAGGUCCUACUAAUGAUGCCAAGACAAGAUAUGGUUAGUUGUAGCAUAAUGCAUGUGAAGGCAAAUGAGUGGUCAAGAAAGGAAUCAUCACUGCAAGUGAUUUAAGGGACAUAUCCUAACAAUUCUUGGUUAAUAUUAGUUUAUUGAAGUCCUUAGCCAAGGCAACUUAAUAAUUAUGAAGAAGAGUUUCCUAAGGCUCUAUAAAACUAAUAAUCUAACUUCAAGAACAAAUAUGGAGAUCAAUAACUGUAGACACUGCACCAUUCUCUUAUCAUUUCUGAGAUAUAUGAUAAAGGAAUGAAUUAUGCUGAUAAAUUGUAUACUAAAAGGUUGUCAAAGACCCCUCUCACUCUCCUAACAAUUCGGUGGCUAUGAUGCAUUGCUAGAUGCCAAUCUUGAUCAAUGAAAUUGAAUUAAUUAAUUUGAUAAAAAUUAUAAUUCAAUUCCAUUGCCAACAUGUUAAGAACCUAAUCGGUCACACACAAUAAGUUGCAUUAUGAAUUAAAUUGGAAGUGUGAUUAUUUAAGUUGGACUUAAAUCAUACAUUAGGUUUUUAACUUCCAAAGACUUAAUUAAAAUAGUUUAAUUAAGUAUAAGGCUAAUAUUAUAAUUAGUUAUAAUAUUAAAGCCUUAAUUGCAAACAAAUAAUGUAAAUUUAAUUUAAUUUUAAUUUACAAUGACUUAAUUAAAAAGGUUUAAUUAAGUGUUGGGCCAAUAUUAUAAAGAGAUUUAAUAUUAGAGCCUUAUUUGCAAUUUAAGAAGGUAAUUAACCUAGAUAUAAAUAUCACUUUUCAACUACUCCUUAUAACAUAAGUGAAAUACACAAGUUAGGUUUUUUAAGUUGUUAAAAAACUAACAAGAAAAGUCUAGCCACACAUUUUCUUGAGUGACUUGGAAAAAUAGUUUUCUAACUUUGUUCUUCGGAUAAGAGAAGUGUGACUGUGUGGAGAGGACAAGUUGUAGUCCAACUAGCCAGCACAAAGGCAUAGUUGAGAAAGCUACCUCCUUGUGAAGGUUCAAGUGCAAUCGUGUGUGCAACUGUUGAAGGCCAAGCAUUUGAGUGGCUGGGGUUCUUAGCUACUUUUGUGGUGUUCACGAGUUCGACAAUGAAGAGGUACUAUCAUGAUAGCCACAUCACUUGGUAAAGGUAAUCUUAUUUUUCUAAUUAUUCCUCUAUUCUGGUUUUGUUUGCAUUAAAACCACCAAGGAGAUCCAUGGUAGGUGCGGCAUGUUUUUGUUAUUCAUUUAUUACUUUUUUUGUUUCAUUUUGCUAAAUUUAAUUUAGUCAUGUCGUUGCUAACAAUGGUAUCAGAACCUCCUUAACUCAUUUCAAUACAAAAUUAUCACAUCCCAUUUUAUGGAGAAACAUGAUUAGCGCAUUAACUUAGACCGGUAUAGCCUGCUAGGCCCAAACAAGCCUCUUUAACGUUCAUCAUUAAACAUUCAUCAAUGCGAAAGCAUACAUAAACAUUCAUAGGCAUACAAUAUCAACUCAUGCAUACCAUCAUACGUAACAUUACAUAUAUAUGGAACUUCUCAACAUAUUAGUGUAAAUGCAACAUUUCAUAUAUCAUCAAAAUGCCACAUUUCUAGUGCACCAUAAUAUUUACAAGUCUCAACACCCUGAGGCGUCCAUAUGGGCUUUUGAGCCAAUUUACACAUCUAACAUAACAUUCAUAAUGAAACAUUACGGUAACAUACUCAUAAUCCAUAAAACAUGUUCAUAGUCUAUAAACACAAACAUAACAUAGAUUGACUCGUCAGUGAAACAUGACCUUACUCGCUAGCCAUCGAGCGGCUGCUAGACACCUAUCAAUGAGAAAUGAACAGAUCGCGCUUUUGUGACACUGGCUGGUAGCAAAAAAGCUAUCACUGAUUUGCAACAAAAAUAGUGAGGUAAAAUAACGUGUGAGUUAUGAAAACUCAAUGAGUGGAUACGGGAAAGAGGACAAGCUUGGGGAUAUGAGUUUUUCGUAACCAUGCAAUUAUAAAUACAAAUGAUUCACAAUUCCCUUCACAUUACCAUGAUCUUCAUGAAACAUAGCAUUUAAUCAUCCACUGAAUAACAUUGCGUGGAAAACAUCUUUGCAUAAGUCAUUAGAAACCAUUUAAUCAUGAAAACCUCUCUAAAAUCACUUGAGAAUCCAAUUCUGUAACAAUUCUAUCGAUACAUGCAAUUUUAUCAAUACCUUUGGUAAUGCAUUGAUACAUUCCACACAGAGUGCCUUUUAUAGUAUUCUAGAAAACAAUUUUAUCGAUACAUGCAAGGAAUCUAUCGAUACCCUUGGUAAUGUAUCGAUAUAUUCCACACAGAGUGCCUCUUGUAGCAUUCUGUUGAAAAUGUAUUGAUACUUUUGUCAUAGAAUCCAACUUUCUGGGCAUUUUCUUGAGUCUAACUCAUUCAUAAGUCCUUCUUGCAUUGAGGGAUCAUUCCCUAAGCUAAGGUUCUGUCUAAGCAAGUCAAUAUUACCACAUUACAUUAUGUGCUAUUAGUCGACCAAUGAUUGAAUAGAUCCCUACUGUAAUGACUACUCCUUGAUUGCUACCGACGUUCGAGUUUGGCGAGAGAACCCGUCAAACCCCAAACAAGCCUUAAUUGAAAUUCUUGUUAUUACCUUAUAUUCAUUCCACUAACUUAUGUAAUCACUUUGAAUUGUAUAACUCAUUGCAAUAUGGUAUUGAACAAUAGUCAUAAUAAAUCAACUUAUCCCUUAUUUCACAUAAUUUUAAAAGUACAUCAAAGCCUGUAAUACCCAAUUGUGCAUUUGCAUUAAUACUAUUUGCAACCAAUUUAAGUUAUGAAUGACUUGACCUCUAGCAGUGGAGCGACUCGGAAUAAGGUGUUGUGAGAUGCCUUCACUUAUCUGCAGUGACAAUAUGCGCAAAUGAACGCAUGCUAGACUGAUCACUAUCUACAAAAGGGAGAUAAAGGGGUGAGUGUGAGACCCCAACCUCUAUAGGCUUGUAACUAAGCAUAGAUGUAAUAAUACGAGCUAGGGGUAAUUUCGUUAUUUUCUCUAACAAGAUUCCAGAAGAAAGUUUUAUGAUAUUUUAAGGUCAAAAUGGGUAUAAGACUGCAUAAAUGAUGUGUGCUGGUGAAAACACGAAGAAAACUAGAAGUUUCAACAAUUUUCAUAACAAGGGCAAAAUGGUCAUUUUUCACCUCGGUUUAAAAUUUUAAUUUUUUAUGAACCCGAACAUGUCUAGACCAUUAUGGACCUUGUCCCAGUGUUAAAAGAGCAAAGAGAUUGCAUAAAAGAUUAGAGGAGAGUAAGUUAAUUGGUGAAAGGGCAUUUUCGUAAUUUUAUGGGAAUGGAUAAGUUGGCCUACAAAUAUCUUGAAAUUUCCGGCACCUUCUUGAAUUUCCAGCAGCUGGUCUUCUUCUUCCCUUCUCUUUUCUCACGUUUCUUCAAUUUCUCCAUGGGAGUUUCCUUCAAGCUUCCAUAACUUUCUCUCUCUAGCUCCAAUUUUCAUGCUUUUGGUGUACUCUUCCAUAAACCCUUGUGCUAUUUCAUCCUCUCACUUUAAAACCCUUGAUAAAUCUCAUUUCUACAUUUUUUCUCACUAGCUGGACGUUCUAGAGAGAGAAAGAGAGAAUUACCCCAUUGAUUUGGAAGCAUUUGGAAGAGAAUUUGACUACAAAGGAGCCUUAGGGUAAGUGAUGAAUUAAGCUUGGUUUUUAGCUACAGAAAAUGGCUAGUAAUUGGGAUUUAUGAGCUGUUUAUUGUUGAUUAUGUUCAUUACUUUUAGUGACUAAGAUAGUGAACAUAGAUGGCCAUUUAAUGUGGCAAUUGAAAGCUAGUUUAGAGAUAGCUUUUAGGGGUCAUAGUGUGUAAAUUGACCUAUUGCUUAUGCUAAUGUGAUCCUAGGUUCUAAGGAAGCCCAUCAUCUCAUUUGGACAAUUAGAGGAAUUGGAGUCAUCUAAAGGCUCUACAAUCAAUUGGUGAGUGGACUGCCUAUCAAAAUUGUUUUGGGAAUACGACUGUUUUGAACAAAGUGUUUGAAUGGUUUUAUACAACUUUUCUCAAAAAUGAAUGCCUUGGGAACAAGCUCUUGUGAAAUGGUUUAUGUUAUGAUAUGUGGUUAUUAUGGAUUUCUAUGUGGCUGCAUUAUGUUGAUAUACAUUUAUGCUUGAAUAUAAUGUUGUGUAAUUAUAUUGACUUGGCUAUGUGCGAGUAGGGAGUGCGCAUAACCUGGUGAUGACCCAGCCAUGUGCGAGUAGGGAGUGCGCAUGAGUUGGUGAUGAUGAUGAUGGGAUGGUGUGCAUGAUGGUGAUGGGUAUAUGUAUAUGUAUACAUACGUAAACAUGUGUGUUAUAAUACAUUUAUGAGUUAUGUAUAUGGAUGUAAUGUAUGUGAAAUUCGGUAUGUUAAACUUUGGGAAGUUGUUAUGUAUUUCUUAUUGGUUUUGAACAUUUCAAGCAGGGUGGUUUUCUUUGGGAGAAAGGGAAAUUUUCGUUUGGUGCCCUGUAUUUCGCUGCAUCCAGAAUGCCUUUCCGCUGCAGCGAGAAACUCUCGGGUUUGAGAACCUUCACCAGAACUGGUUCUCGCUGCAGCGAGAAUGUAUUUCGCUGCAGCGAGAUAGUCAUUGUAGCUUCUCACUGCAGCGAAAAGGAAUCUCACUGCAGCGAAAAACUCUCUGUUUCAUCAGUGAAAUUUCACUGCAGUAAGAAAGAAUCUCGCUACAGCGAGAAACCUUCUGUUUCUAGGUUACAAUUUUGUCGCAACGAGAAAAAAUCUCGCUGCAGCAAAAAACCUUAUGUUUUGGUUUCCUAUCUUGUCCAAUUGCUGCCCUAUCUUUCACUUCUUUACUACCAUAUCAGAGCAUGGACUUCCUACAUUAAGGAUUAAAUGAGUUAAGUUUAAAGGGAGGAGGUUUAGUGAGAAACCCUCGGCUAGUUGAGAAACCCUCGAUCAGCUAAUAACCAAAUCCCAACGUCGCUGCAACGAAAAUUCAUUCUCGCUGCAGCUAUGCCUUUCCGCUGCAACGAAGAUUCAUUGUCGUAUUAGACUUGCUUGUGUAAUAUUAAAGCUUUCAUUCUUCGAAUGGUUCGCUAUGUAUGGGUUCCUGAUUUUCAAAUGAUUACUCAUUUAAGGGCUUGAUGAGGGGUUUUUAGUAAGAAUAGAAACAAAUUGCAUUGUUUUGAAAAAGAAUGCAUCAUGAUUUCAUUAAAGAUUCCUUACGGUAUGCUUGUUCCCUUUCUUGUUCACUCACUGGGUUUAUACUCACCAUUUUCAACUUCAUGUUUUCAGAUCACGAGGCAGUCGGUAACUAGGACAAGGUGUCCUUAUAGACUUGUACUCAUCUUUUGGUAGGUGUCUCGACAUUCAGUAGCUGUACAUUCGUUCGAGUCCCUCCGCUGGAGUCGAGUAUUAUUUUGUUGUGUAUAGACGAACCUAAUGUAAUUGUUAAGAUACAUGUUGUAAACAAAUGUAUAUACACUUGUUUAGUAUGCCAAUAUGAGAUGGCAAUGUUCAAUAAUAUUUUGAUUCUAAGUUUUGAAAAAUGACUUAGCAGUUUAUGAUGGAAUGAUGAACACGUCGGACUAAUAGGCUUGCUUAGGCUUAGUGGACUACGUCCAUUGGGCCAUUGUGUCGAUCAUGGCCCGAAAUUUGGGUCGUGACAGUGAGUCUCAUAGACUUAGUGAUCAUUGGCUCUGUGAGCAGGGCGUAGACGGGAAAUAAGCAUAAAGCAGAUCGUUUGAAUAAUAAAACAAGAAUAUAAAAGGAUAAUCUUAUGAAACCAAAUCACAAGUAAGGUGUUUGUGCCUUGUAAAGAUGAUGCUGUAAAAUCAUAAUGCAAUGCUUUCCUUGGCAAAACUAUGCCGAAAACAAUCGUAGCAAAAAUAGAUUUCAAUCAUCGAAAUCGUCACUUUCCAUCAAAAAUACAAAUACUCAUAUAAAAAUACACAAGCUCCCAAAAAUGUGUGGCAUGCAAAAAUCAUUGUGUACAUCCACAUAAACCAACUCGUGAUCAUAUACAAGCUCUGAAAGCUUUCAUUCAAAUAAGGGAGCUGCGAAAAAACGUUAACUCUCCACCAUGUAAAAGAGUACGAGUCUAAAAACUCUUAAGGCUCUUGCAUAGGUAAAUCAUAAAUAACAAAUCGUGGACCCACUUUCACGUAAUAACAUUCGGGAGCUCUACUCCACCAAAUUCCCAUAGCCAUGGUAGUCUCGACGAUGUUGGCCAACUUCGGAGAAAUCAAGUGGUCACAACCACAUAUAUCAAUUGGUGGCCUAUCCACAUAUAACAACCCGUGGCCUUGCCACGUAUAAUCACAGACAGUGGCUCCAGCCACGUCUAACAACUCAUCGGAGACCCAAAAGUUCUCUAGCUAGAGCUCACUUGUGCACAAGGGUCACACUAUUCUGAUGUGACAUUCGACCUACUCUCGAUGCUCUCGGUUUGUCAAAAGUAUUUUCAAAACCAAAUCAAGUUUUCCAAGACUUUUGCUUAAAAUCAUUUGUAAACAAGGUUCAAUAACCUUUCAAAUUGUUUUUCACAUUAAAUGCAUGGUGUAAACAUUUGUAUAAAAAUCAGACUAAAAACGGCUCUCAAAAGUUUGCAUUUAAACCAUUUGAUAAGUACAUUUAACUAUGCAUAUCACACAAAGAUACAAGGCACGGAUUUUUGAUGCAAAACAGUGCAAAAAGGCUUGUUCCCUGAUUUCUAAAACGUUUUACAUAUAUAUAUAUAUAUAUAUAUAUAUUCUGCACAAACAAUUUCCAAAUCAACUUGCAUCCAUAAUUUUAUAUGGUUUUUACCAGCUCAUGCUUUCCACAAUAGUAGUGUAUAAAUUAUUGUAAAUCCAUUUUAAGAUCGCCUAUCGAGGCUAACAACUCAUGCUAUCCACAAUUGCAUUUAAAGGAAACCGAAAACAUUUAUUAAAUGUAUAACAAUAUAUAGUGUAUAUAUCAUUUGAAAUAGACACCCCUUACUCACCUUAUAAUGGCGGGAUAUUACUUCGCCACUAAUCCGGUUACGUUUUGUAUUAAAUCGACUUGCCGGUCACCCAUUACCACCUUUGGUAUGCCACCACGGCAAACUUUGCACACUUCCUAGCAAUAAACCAAGCUUAAUGUACUUAGUAUUUAUCAUCCUAAUUCAGCUCACAUUUGCUGCCUUAUGUAUCAAAUUCUUGCUCCUUUCAUUAUCAAGAACUAUGCACACUUCAAAUUAUUAUUUUUCACUAUACCCGACCGGGCACAUUAUUUCCAAUUUCAUUCAUACACACGAUUAUAUGUAUAUAUAUAUGGGCAGCAUCUUAACCAAGAAUCCUUAUCCAAUAUCCACAUUGCUCAUAUUUAUUCUUAUAAGUAUUCUAACGAACAACUUUAACAUUUCUAACUCGCUCAUGCAUUUUAGAUUCUUUCAACAACUAUUAUUCCUCACAAUGUACCUUUCAAGAUUCCAAUCACACAAAGAUAGCCAUUGCUCAAGAUCUCUCAACUAUACUCAAAGCAUUAUUCAUUUUUUUUACCUUUAAGGUGGCUUGAUCCGCACAUGCACUCUAAUGUUCCUCCAAAACUUCAAUCGUCAAGCUACCAACAUGAUUGACAAAUUAUUUCUUCAAAGAUUUUACAAAUCGUAGGCCUUAAAAUAUAGUGUUAUGCUUACCAUUUCUAUUUCACUUUGAAUCCACCAAGCACUCACGAUUUUGAUAGCUUGCAUGUCCCUAAAUCUUCUCCAAUCAAGCCAAUCUUUGCCGCAACAAAACAUUUCUUAUAGUCAUCAACCCAUUUUCAAAGAUUAUUCAAGCUAAAACCACAAUUCUUACUUUAUUUCUCUUGUAUCUUGAAACCAAGCUUCACACCUCCAUCAACACUCCACGGCUUUCCUCUUGAAUGUUGAAGACUCUUUGGUUGAUGAAAUAGCACACAUCUACAAGAUAAAGGAUGGAAACCUCACGGUUUCACUUAAUCCUCACAACUAGAGGCUUUCCUUCCUUUCUCUCUUUUUCUUUCUCUUUUUUCUUCUUCUCGGGUGGAACCUCUCAAAGCCUUCUCUUCUUUCUUUUCUUCUCUAAAUGGUCGGCCCUCUCUCAACUUCUCAAGGCCAAUUCACAUUUCUUUACUCCUUGAACUUGGUAUUUAUAUGGCCACCCAUUCAACUAAUCACAAUACAUGCACACAUUCUCUUUUUGUUUUCAUUUGGCCAUUUUGUCAACCAAUGGUUCUACAUGCACCAAUUUUCUUUCCUCCACAUUGGUCAAUUAUCUAUCCUUACUUGCUUUCCCAUUCGCCACCUUCACUAUCCCUUUCUUUCUUCCUUUAUCAUUUAUUUCAUGCACCACCUUAUUCAUCCGAUCACAUUUCAUGCACAAGCUUCACUUUAUAUUUUAUUUUGUCAUUUAUUAAACCAUUCAAGUCUCAUGCAUCCAUAUUUUUCUUUCCUCAUUUGGCCACCUAAUGCACCAAUCUCUUUACAUGCAAAUAGAUUUAGGCCUAUCCUUUCUUUUACUUCACAUGGUGGGGGUCCCACAUGUUCCCCACUAAUUUCCUCCUUUUUACAUGCUAGUAUUUACAUGUAAUAGUGAUUUACAUGCACAUUUCAUUAUCUCAUAUAAUUUAACUUUCCUUGGUUAGUUAAUUUUCUAUUUAGCUUCAAAUAUUGUAAUUGCACAUAAGUCCUCGACUUUUCCUUAUUUACCAUUCGACCCUCUUUACUUUUCAUCCUUUGCAAUUAAGUCUUUCAAUCAUUUCUUUGAUUCCAAAUUUCCUUCUAUCUUUCUUACUUUCCCAUCCACCACCUUCACUAUCCCAUCUUUUCUUCCUUUAUUAUUUAUUUCAUGCACCACCUUAUUCUUCUGAUCGCAUUUCAUGCACAAGCUUCACUUUAUAUUUUAUUUGGUCAUUUAUUAAACCAUUCAAGUCUCAUGCAUCUAUAUUUUCCUUUUCUCAUUUGGCCACCUAAUGCACCAAUCUCUUUACAUGCAAAUAGAUUUAGGCCUAUCCUUUCUUUUACUUUACAUGGUGGGGGUCCCAUAUGUUCCCCAUUAACUUCUUCCUUUUUACAUGUUAUUAUUUACAUGUAAUAGUGAUUUACAUACACAUUUCAUUAUCCCAUAUAAUCUAACUUCCUUGGUUAGUUAAUUUUUCAUUUAGCUUCAAAUAUUGUAAUUGCACAUAAGUCCUCGACUUUUCCUUAUUUACCAUUCGACCCUCCAUACUUUUCAUCCUUUGCAAUUAGAUCUUUCAAUCAUUUCUUUGAUUCCAAAUUUCCUUCUAUCUUUCUUAUUUUACACUUGUACAAAUAAAAUAUAAAAUUUACACUUCACCAAGGUGUCACCGUAAUAUUUAAAUAUAUACUUACCGGCUAUUGCUUUAUUAAAUAAAGGCACGCGGGCCCCACUUAUGUCAUUUUUCUUCGAAAUUCUUUCUUAUUUCUUCUCCCUCACUUAGAUUAGCCAUAUAAUCUUCAUUCAUGACUAAUUUUGACAACAGAUAAAAUAUUAAUAUUUAACAUUAUUUUAUUAACAAAAUAUUAUUUUAUUUUAAAAUUCUCCUUGGGUCUCAAAGUGUCUCAAUUGGCCUUGGUUCACUUCCAAAUCGCCUUUUAACUUGCUAAUGCAUCCUCAAUAAAAAUAUUAUUAUUUAAAUAUUAUUUUUUCGCGUGUAAAAUACUUUAUUCUAAAUAUUCUUUUCACCAAUCACUGCUCUUUGAAACUUAAAUUUAUAUUAGUUGACACUUCGUUUUAUCGAUAAGGUCUUAUUGGCUCUUAUACGAGGUUACGGGGUGUUACACCUACUUCAUCACUAUGUGAGCCCUAAGGACUUAUGUGGUCCAAAUUUUAUACCCUUUAGGACUUGGAUCUAUGAUAUGAAGUUGAGAUUUGGCGUUACUACUUUAGCAUGAUUCCAAAGGUAAAAAAUGAUGUGACCUAACAGUCAUAUCUUAAUGGAUUGACAUGAGUAUCCAAAUAAGAGUUAUCAUUCAUUUUACAUACAUGGUCUGUAACUCAUUUCCCGAGCAAUUAUAAAACAUUAGAUGGUCGAUGUAACCAUGAGUUUAGACACAUAAAGAGAUUUUGCAUAGCUCUUACACGAAUGGAUCAUAUAUGCAAAAUCUUGUGUGAUUAAAAUGAUUUGAGGUAUGACAAGAACUCAAGCGAUGUUAUGUUAAUAACAUGAUAACUUAAUAUCUCAUUGCUCAUCAGUACCUUUAUUUUCAUGUUGGUCACAUGUUCCAUUUUCCACUUAUAAUAAUGAAUGGAGAAUGAAUUAAAUUGAGAAUGGUAUAAGUUGAUACCAAUGUGCACGAAUGGGAGAUGUUACACUUAAAUGUAACGCGUCCACAUUGCAAGCAACUUUAUUAAUUAUUUAUGGAUAAUUAACAAAUAUUUCAUUAAUUAAUAUUGAAUAUUAUUCUAAUAUUUCUUAAUUGAAUAAUUGCAAAUAAAUGUUAGAGAUAGGAUAUAAAUUUAAAUUUAAUUUAUCUAAAUUAAAAUAAGAAUUAUUUAUACAUUAUAUUUAAAUUUAAUUUGUUUAAAUUUAAAUAAAUAUUAAUUACAUUUAAAUUUAAUUUAUUUAAAUUUAAAAAUAAUAUCCUAUCUCUAUAUCCCUAAUACGUCUAUAAGUAGUGAACAGAUGUACUAAAUUUUACAUAAAGCCAAGAGUUAAUGUGAAUUGUUUUGUAAGUCAAAAAAAUCAAAAACUCUUCCCAUUUUUUUUCUUCAUUCUUAAAACACCAUCAAAGGCCAGAAAGUAUUAAAAUGUGUAAAUCUUUGCGCAAGAGUCUAAUAGCCGUUUCAUAACAACGAGAGUGAAGAAAUCAUUGAGUGCACGAAAGCAAAUUUGUAAGGCAAACUUCUUUAAUUAAAAAGGAAGUGGAAUAUUUAUCUGAAAAGGUAAACCCACCUCCCACUCUACUGAAAUUAACAAGCACAACUAAAGUGAUAAAUAUGCUUUAUUUAACAUUAAAUAAUGUCCUUUAAUUAUUUAAUAAACUGAGAUUCUUCAGUAAUGAAGGAAUUUUCUAUAUUGAACCUUAGACCAGAAACAGCCUUUAUUGUCAAGGGUAUACCAAUCAUACUAGGCACGUAUUUAGUGGCAUAGCAUCACUUUCGUAUAUAAUGUUAUAGGGGCUUACAUGACACCUGCACUCUCUUUCUGCAAAACUCCAUUACGAGUCAUUUCUUGACCACUGACAUGGUGCUUCUUCUCCAAAGCUAUUGCUGCUGUUUCUUGACUCAAUUGCUUUUCGGCUUCUCCAAUAGGAGGAUAUGAUCGCCCACUUCCACGUAUGAGGUCUUUGAUGGUUGCUUUAAGCUCUUCAUCCUUCAUCAAGGACUCCAUUGUAACAUGUACACCUGAGUUAAAAGCAGGAUAAAGUAUCAGUGGACCACCUUCAAGUAAAGCACCAUUAUAAAAAUUGGAACAGGGAAGCAGCUUGAAUUAUAUAAUGCAGAGCCAUAUUGGACCAAUUUAGGAGACAUCAGAGGACAAAAGAAACAUACGGUAUCUCCAAUAGUGCUUUGGAUUUGUGGGAUCAUUUAUUGUCUCCUCCGCUGCAGGGCGAGUUGUGUACUCUUCUUUAAGCGCUAACAAAUCCUGGCCAUCAAAACCAUAGUUUUACACACUUCUGUAGUAGAAAAAUGCCACCAAUAACUGUGUAUUAUAACUUGUUUCGCAACUAUGAGUUGCAGUUCCAAGAGAACAUUAUGUUGAAGUAGAUGAGUUUCAUCACAAACCUGAAGGGGGAAAAUUGCCCACAUUGAUGGAGCUUCAACAUGUUGCCUUAUGAUGAAAUAUGCCACAUCUGGAACACAUUGAGUAGGUGGCAGUUCAUCAGAACCCAUCACAGAGUUGAAAAACCGGUGCCGUCUCUCUUCAUCUUCUUCCCACCAGGCACGCAGGGUGGAGCAGUCAUGACAUGAUGGAGCACACACCUGAAACAUAUUUGCAAUAGCCAACUCUUAAUUUAUUCAUUUCUUUUAUGAGCAGCUUAAUUUAAAUACAUCAAGUAAAUUAGGGACCCCGAGAUUUGAGUGAAAGCUAUUCAUGAGGAAAAAGAAGAAAAAUAGACCUCCGUGCAUUGUCUAUGACAUGGCAUGCUUUUCAGGGAAAAAGGUUUUGCUGUAUUACCCAUCCUUUCGAAUAUUAACAGUAAAAGAAACUAACCCAGCUAUCUCCCCACUAACACUACCACCCCACCACCAAGAAGAAAAAAAUCCACAUGUCAGAAGUGCACUGUCAAGGCAGGAAUACUAAAAGGACAUGUAUCUUGGAAACAGAAAACCAAGGACUGAAUGGCCAACCUUUAACUGGAAGUACUUCUCAAUGACAAGGCAGACACUUUUAUUACACGGACGAAGCACUCUAGAGUUCAGUGUUAAUAUAUUUCAUCAUCUUUUGAGGCAUAGGAAUACUGAUUUUCUAAUCAAAGACGGGGAACAACUAUUCAAGAGAAAGAAGCUUCUCACAUAGUUAUAUUUUUCUACAUAUGGUUGACUCAACUCAGUCAACUUUUCACAACAUUUAGCGUAUGUCUUUUCAUUGCACAAAGUGUACCCCUUCCGAAACUAUAUAAAAUAAUAGAUCCUGGUAUCUUCACCAACUACAGAACAGAGACAAAAAUGAAGCUGAAUGAUUCCUAAAUAACCCCAAAACAUACGAUAUGUUCAAUACAAAUCGACGUGAUACUGGCUCUUACUGUCAUGUAGCUGUACUGCGAAGGAAAACCAAAUUCAAGAUCUGGUUCACUGGGCAUACGUUGAAUACGCAAGCCAAUUAGCCCAAGUUCUUGCAUCACCUGCAUUUUCAGAUAAAAAUAACAAUCAAGGAAUAUAUACUACACGCAAAAUGCAGGAAGAAGGGAGGGAGGAGUCAUUCUGGUUUAGAACAAGAAAAGGUUGAAUGAACAUACAGGAUGAACACAUGCAGGAAUAAGGCCCAGAUCUUCCCCACAAGCUAGCAUAUCUGAUGAAUUUAGGAGCACAGGGAGGGUCUUCAAAGCAUUUUGCUGCCACAACUUUUCUUGCCGAUGGAAAUAGUAAUCAUAGUACAAUCUUUUCAGAACAUUUUUGCUAUAUUAUGUGACAAACAGUUAGAGAUAAGUUGAUGUGUUUCAAAUCGAAUAAGGCUGUUAGCGGAACAUUAGGAUUGAGAAUUCGUCUUAAAGAAAAACUAAGUUAAUAUGAUCUAACUACCUGUGAUCAUCCAGAUCCCUAAAACUUGAAGUAUCUUCAAGAUUAAAACGUGGAUAGAAAUUUCUUGCAUGCUCUGGAUCUCUGAUGAGAACUAUGUUCUGCAUAAAGAAUUGAUUGGAUAGUCUAAGAUGAGGACCAGAAAAUAUUGAACAACCAAAAAAAGAAAUAAGGAAAAAGACCCAAGUUUCCAGCACAAGCCUCUUAUUUGACAACUACAAGUUUCCGGGAAGAAUCUAAACCAAUAAAUCCUUCUUGACAUACUAGCUUUUAGUUAACUUGCAAUUUGCUCGAAAACCAUGAUGUGAUAUCUUAAUUAUUUUAAUAAAAUAAUAUAAUUUACAAGCUACUCGAGUAAUAUAAGCAUUUUAUUGAUUUUGAACUCUAAUAAUAACUUUCCACUAAAUUUUGUAACUAAUUAUUUUUGUCUUGUGUAUUACUUUGUUUAGUUAAUUAAUUUUUAAAACAAGUUCUUUAUUAAGUUUUAAGAUUCAUCUCUUUGCUCAAGGUUGUUUUAUUCUAAUAGCAUAAGCGCUCUAUUAACAAAAAGAUAUUGUAAAAAUUACUUUAAAUAUUAAUAGAAUGACACGAUUGAAACUUGAUUAAAAACAAAAGGGCAAUAUAGUCUUCACAAAAGUUUUACACCACUCAAGCCACAUUUAUAUAUAGUAUACAUUAGCUACCUUUAAAAGAUCAAAUAGAUCAUGACGUAUCUUAUCUUCACUCUCUGGCAACAAGGACUUUUCUGCACACGACUUCAGCUUGGCAGCAAUCUUUUUCUCUGUGUUGCAGUCCUCCUUAAACUAGAAUUUCAUGCAACAAAUGAUAAAAAUGAUUGAAGGCCAUUCCAAAAACCCUGAUCUUUUUUGAAACAACACUAUUACUAACAACUCAUUAAAAACAAAUGGUGGAACCAAUUUAAUGAAAGUAUGCCUACUCAUGAUCCCUUAUAGUGAUAAAAAUAGAUGUUUCACAAUCAACACAAAGCUAAAAAGUGUUGUUUAUAACAAUAAUAAUGAAAAGAAGAAAAAGAGUAUAAACUUUUUUACAUUAAACUUCAGAUGAUGGAUAAACUUUUUUACACUAAAAACCACAAAUUACAUACUAAUCUAUUACAUAGAGAUUCAAAAAGUUUUUUUUUUUUUUUUGCAAGAUGUACACCAUAGAUUGAUAGUAUUAAACAAAUUAAGUUUUCUUAUAUUGAUCUUAAAGAACGUCAAAGUUCAAACAAUUGAACCAAGAGACAUCAAUGGACCAGCAAGCAAUUUAUGACCAGGACCACCUCUCGAAAAGGGAGAAAUAAAAUUAUCUAAUGGAAGGAGAUAUUAACAAGUUUAGUAAUUAAAUCUCAUUAAGAAAAACCAAAAUAACCGUGUGCAUAUAAAUUCUUUGGAUUUUGGAAUACACUAAAGAAAAUGGGAGUUCUAUCGUUAAAGAAAAGCAUUUCAUCUUAUGAUUGCUAGAGACAUGUUGAUCAAAUAAUUACUCAAAUUAAUGAUCCCAAUGAAGCCCCUCUUGGCAUUUGUUUGAAAAUUAAUUAAGACAACCAAAGGUAUCUAGAUGAAUGGCUCAAAAAUAUGCAGUUACUAGUCAGUUAAAUUAGCAUAACCUUCAGUCAAUUAGGUAAAUCAACAUGGUCAUUCAAGGUUGAAAGUUAGCAUGAAAUCACUUAACUUCAAGAGUUGAAUGGAAAAAUGAAAUGAAAAUCAAACUGUGGCCAAUUGAGUAUGAUCAUCACCUCAUAACGGUCCAGAUACUCAUUCAAAAAAGUUGCGACAAUCAAAGUCCAAGAAUCUCCAAAUUUUUCCUGACAUAUGAAGGGAAAAUAAAGUAAGAAGUAAAUAUGCAUAAGAAAGUAGCAGAUGAUACUGACCGGAUGGAAACUCAAACGUCAUAAGGCAAAUUACAAAGGUUAAAUGCUCAUUUUAGGAUCUAAGAUUUACCAAAUUCUUCAUUUUAGGAUUCAACCUAUUAUUUUUUUCAAAUUAGGCUGAAAUCUUUCCAAUUCGAUCCAUUCAAGGAAAAUUAGUGAAAGAAGUUAGUGAUUACCAUUGAUGAAACUUUACAAUGCAAAUCUAUAUCCCCACAUGGCAACUAUUAGUGCCAUUAACAGUAACCAUUAACUUUUUUCCAUCAAUUUCUCUUACAUGGAUAAAAUAAAAAAUAUAGCAUCUUAAUCUUAAAGAAAAGAUAGGCUGCCUUCUGAAAUGAAGGAUUUGGUAAAUGUUAGAUCCUAAAAUGAGCAUUUAGCUAGCUACAUAUGCAAACAAGUCAACAUCCUUAAAGAGAAAGCCAAUUUGAACCACCAAGAUACACAUUCCUCACCUGCAAAAAUUCUUUUUGAACAAAUGGGCGAGUCAAGCGAUCAAAGUCCCAUAUACCCUCUCUUUCAAGUUCUUCCUGAAGCAGAAGAAUUAUUUACAGUUACAUCAAGAGCAAAGUUGCUCCCCUUUACUGUUAUAUACCAGUGUACCCCUUGCAUAUUUCAAGGAAUUACCUGGCUUAGAGGGAUAGAUGGUCGGAAUUUCCCAAUUAGACCAGUCAUAGCGUGGUCCGGGAGUUCCCAAAUUCUAAAGAAGCCUAAUAUAUGAUCUAUUCUAUAAGCUGUAAAGUACUUUCCCAUCUGCAAUGAAAUUAAAGAAAAUAAUAAAACUUUCAGUGUCAAAGAAACGGAAAAAAGCAUGUCUUGUCCUUAAAUCUGCAUCCAAACAGCUUAUUGGGUUUAGGAUAAAGGUUUAAAAAAAAACUGUAAAGGAAAGAAAGAAAUAGCAAAACCUGGGUUAGGCGAGCACGCCACCAAGCAUAGUUGUCUUUUGACAUUUCCUCCCAGUUAUAUGUAGGAAAUCCCCAAUUCUGGCCAUUUUUAUCAAAAUAAUCUGGGGGUGCCCCAGUAGAGGUGUUCAUGCGGAACAAAUUUGGAUAGACCCAGGUAUCAACACUAUUCCUGUCAACACCGAUAGGUAGGUCUCCUUUCAAGAUCACCCCUUUAGCUCUUGCAUAUGCUGCAGCUUCCGACAACUGUCCAUUAUAUUAACAAAUAAUAAACACCAAGAGACCAAUUUGUUCAACAGUGAGAAAUAUAUAUAUGCACAAACAAGAAGAGAAAGGGUGAUGCACAACACUUUGGAAAUUGAAGAAUUUCACUUACCUGCGAAUGUAAGUGGAACUGGACGUAAUAAUGAAAGCAAAUUGUAUCAUAGUGCGAAGUAUCUUUCGAGACAAGUUUCUCAAGCUGUAAGAAAAGGUGAACAAACAUUAUUGAGUUAAAUGUUCAAGGGAAAAAGCUUAUCUGUGCUAUUAAACCUAAGGCAAAACAGAUGAACUGUUAAAAUUUUGAAAGGAGAAGACAUUUUAACUAUAUUCAACAUCCUGGCUCAACUUAGAAGUUCAAGUUAAAGUUGGAAGGAUCAUUACCUUGUCCUUAGAAUAAUUAGAAAAACGGCCCCAUUGACUGUGAUCGGAUGUUUCAAAAAAGUCCCGCAAAAAACAGAAAGCCGCAUACGUUUUUAACCAAUCCUUUUACCAAUUAAAACAACGUUCACUAUAUUAAUCAUACAUUGGAAAUUAACAAACUUAAUAGAUAACAGAAUAUGAAAAGAGAUAUUUGGACUUUUGACUAUUAUACAUGGUUGACAGAUGGAGGGAAUCAAAAGUUUAAAAGACCUUAUUCGCAGAAAAAAAUUUAUGAAAGGAACUGGAGUUAAGUAUCAAAUCCUUUUCUUGCAUGAAGACUUUCUUGGCAAUUGAAAGUUUGGUAGCCAUUGUAGCCUCAUAAUCAACAUCCUGCAUAUACUAAAAAUAUCUCAUUAGAAUAUUUAUAGUCAUAAAUACUAAGAUGAAAGGGUUGCAUAUAAUAAAAAAUUUACUUCAUCACUGCAGAUGUUCACUUCGAUACUGAUUUAAUCUUUUAGCCUUUUUCCUUUUCUCCCAUAAAUCUUUUGUCGUUAUUAGAAUUCAGAAUAUACUUUUUGUGUCUGAAUUUGGUUAAAUCUUAUCCAGUUAAACUUUGAAAGCUUAGAUAAAAUGGUAUGGCCAUGAAAAUAAAACAUAGCAUAAAGAUGGUAAUAUGAACUACUGUUUACCUUGACAAAAACAAUCAGAAGAUGUUGAGCUUUUAAGGCACUAUCCACUACACUUUGACUUGUAAUCUUAUUAGAAUGUUCUGAAAACAAUGACAAAACCCAGUCCUAGAUCACUUAAUAUAUCAACUAGCAUAUUUCCAUCCUCCAUCAACUAAUUAGUUAGUAGACAUCAGCUUGUCCAUAAAACUAUUUCUACUCUGAGAUCGCUAUGCUACCACCAUCAUUGAGUAGUACAGUAAAGGGUUCCAGAUCUACACUUAAUCGUGGAGCUAUGGAUGAGUAAUCUGAAGGAAGCACAGAGGAGGAAUGUGAAUUGAGUUCAAAGGCAGAAGGGGCAAGCCAAGCCCCUACCAAUUCAAAAACAGCGAAGGAUAGAAUGAAGCUAGAUACCAUAAAUGGCAGUAUGCAACUGAGGAAAGUUCUUCUUUUUCUUUGGAUAAUUCAUAAAGAAAGGUUUAGUCUUUCUACAAAUCAAGAAUGGUGGUCAGUUAACAACUAAUGUCUUAAGAUAAAUAAAUUGGGAAAAUUUAAUAGACCAAUAGUUUAUGGUCUUGUUCCAAGUGACGCCAAAGAAAGAGAGGCCGGCUGUAUGGCAGGGUAGAUUGAUGUACAAAUUUAAGACUUCAAGAAACUAGAAAAUGCAAGGACUUUAGUGUGCUCAUUAGCCAAUUACCAUAGAGCUGGCUAACGAACAUCUAACAUCCAUCAUCCUAUUUCCAGAAAAUGUUUUUUUGGCAAUCCCAUUGUAUAAUUAACACAAUCAAUAUAUCAAUUAAAAUAUCUUUCCAGUGAUAAAACAAUAAAAAAUAGUAGAAGUUUUACCUUUCCAUCCAGGCGUUCUUUGGCAUUUCUAAUCUCAUUCUGAAAGGAAAAGAAUUAACAUGGUGAUUUUAGGAAAAGAUAAAAGGGCCUAUCAGUAACAUGAAAUUGAAAGAUAAGUUGGGUAAAAAUUAAGGAAAGCAGGUUGUCGACUUACCUUGAUAUCCUCUGGCAUAUUUUCGGAAAGGGCUUGUACUCUGAGGUACAAUGGAUGCAAUGCAAAUACAGACAAUGAGCUGCCACAGAAAUAAGAGAAUAUUGACAUUUUAACAUUGGAACUUUAAGUUUAUGACUCGUAUUCAGUAAUCCCUAAUAAGCACUCUUAAAAAGGAAUCAACAAGUACCAUGGUGUCAAACAAGAUAUUAGCCUUAGAUAGUAAAUCAGGAGAAACUAAAAUCAGAAACAAUCUGCAACUUGAAAAUAUUGGACAAUCUGCUGGUGCCAACAGAAUUAUUGGACAGAAAAAAUGCAGCAGUACAUAAGUUCAAAUUGAACAUAUAACCUCCUGCCAUCCAGAAGGUAAAGAGAAACGGAUGGGGAGAACUUUUAAGGUUGAACAACUUUGAGCACUGUUAUCUACUAUCUAAUCUGUAAGGUUACCUGUAUGGAUAAGAAUCCCACCACAUCCCAUGUACAGAUGUAUCAUUGAUUGGUAGAAGCUGAACUAAAUGAAAUCCAGACUCCACCGCCCAGUCAACAAGUAACUUCAGGUCAAGAAAUUCUCCAACACCGAGAUCAACUUCUGACCGGACAGAGAACAUGGGAAUAGCAACACCAGCACCUCGCCAGGGCAUUUCCUACAAACCCGAUUGAUAGACUAGUACCAUCAUCACUACUCCAAAAGCUCACUAUAGUAUUCACUUAACUAUUAAGGUAUCCUUAAACAUUUUACCCUCAACAUGCCAUCUGAAAGGAAAAUGUAUUGCAGUUGACUUUUAGAGGAAUCAAUAGAGAGCUCCCUCGUUGAACCAAUUUCCAAAGACAAGCAUCCAUUCUUGCCGUAUUUACAGUACUUAUAUGUGGAACACUUGUUAAGAAAGAGGAAAGAGAAAGAUAACAAAACAAUAAACAAACUCAAGACUGAAAAUAGAUGGUAUAUUUUCAAAUUAGAGAGACAUAUCUCAAAAAGGAUAUUUUAUUGGAAAAUCACUCCUUGGAAUUACACAGUAUGCUUCCCAGAUAUAUUCGCCAGUAUAUUGCAGCUUAAGUCCAUCCUGAACGUUCCAAUUCCCCAACUUUGUAGAGCUACCAAUCACAUAUACCUGCAUUAGUCAAACAUCAUAAAUACAUGCAGCUAAAAGAACUGAUGGAACAUCAAGCAAAUUUUUAAAUUUGCAAUUAAUGCACCUUAGAACUCCUUUGGGAAUAAGAAAACUUACUGAUGUGCCCUCUUCUACAUUUGGACAGCAGAUUUUGAAAUGUACAAGGACUGACUCUGUAUCAUAAUCAGAUUCAUGCACAAUAAUGUAUUAGCUAAACUCAAAUUUCCCAAAAAAAAAUUGAAGGUCAGAAAUGGUGCAAUUACCUCCCUGAUCCAAUUUGUCCUGAAGGAUUACUUCUGGCCUAUCAAUAUUCAAGGUAGAACCUUUGCAAAAAAUGACAUCUUUAAAGGCGCUUCGGAAAGGAAGAGCAUCACCACCAGUCUGGAUUUGUUAACACAAAAUUUUAGGCUCAGUUUCAAUGUCAAGAAACAAGCAUGUUUUACUAUGACCAAAUUUUACUCAACCACCAAUCUACCAUCCACCACAAAGCCAAGACAAGCAUCCCUUCCAGAAGAACAGCUCUUUAAAAAAAAAUCAACAUUGACAAGAAAUGUCUCAAAGAAAUCUGUUAACAGCAGCUUUGGGUAACCUGACCCUAACUAAAUGAACCGUAUUGAUGCAUAACAUUAGGCUCAAGAAACCUUGAGGAUGGGUAGGUUGAUAGCAAAAUAAAUCUCACAAAACUCUUUGGAAGUACAAAACAGCAAAUAACUCUGUCAAAUAUAAACAUAAAGGCGAAAUGGACAUGUACUAAUAGGCAAAUCUGUCUAUUCACUAUGGGGUCCGCUGAUCUACAAAACUCAAUAAUAAUAAUAAUAAUAAUAAUUAGCUAUUACUAGGCAGUAAAAGUGGACACCUCUUCAUACGCACUUGCACAACAUUACAAACAUAAACAGUGUUUAGAAUAUUAAUCUGAAAAGCAUUGUAAAAGAAACAAAGAAGAAAAGAGAGGCGAAUCAAAGUAGUACCUGCCAAAGAUCAUGAAGCUCCAGAGUCUGACCACCCUCCUGAAGCAGUGGAGGUAAUAUCAACUUACGCUUGUUCCCCAUCUCCCAUCUCAGUACAUUUUUGGCAUCAUCCACCACAUAAUAACUGUACUCGCAGCAGAAGCGGCACGGCACUGCAACAGUUCCAGUCCAUAUGAGCUCAUUACCUUGAUGAAAAGGGCUCAGCAACAACCCUUUCUUAACGUUCCAUGAACCGAGCGUUGGUUCGGAGCCGCAUACUACCAGUCUUUGGCCCCAUUCCGUGAAAUAUGGUAUUCUAAACUUGAGUUUCACUGAUUUCAUUGACUUUGUUGCUGAAGAGGAUCCCAAAUUCGCCAUUUCUUAGAUUAGAUCCAGAACAAAAUCAGAAUCAGAAUCAGAAUCAGAAUCAGAUGUUGUUUCUCAAAUUAUAGAGAGAAAACAAAACCCAAUUCGGCAGACGUCAAACUGAUGAAUUCCAACAACACGCACAAAGUAAGAGGUGGACAAGUCGAAUUCAUGCAAUCGGGGCCAAGAAAAAGGAAAAGGAAAACAGAGAGAGAGAGAGUAAGGAAGUGAGCGAGCUCCUUUACUUGAACUGAAAGUAGCUGAAGUGUUAAUAUUAUUAUUAUUAUGAUUAUUAUCACGCGUACUACUAAUAAAGAGAGAAGAAUGAGAGAGAAACAAGGGAAUCAGGCAUCUGGGAAUGGGGUGGGUUACUGGGUUUGUCUGCUUCUCUUCACUUUUCACAGAAAAAUUGAUCUAUUUUAUCAUUUUGUGUGUAGAUAUUUUUGAUUUCCAAACAAGAAUUGAGACCAAAGACACAUAUUUUCUCUUCUUUUUUUGCUUUUAUCUUUUUGGGUUUUAGCAGUAGAAGUGUAGUUGUGUUUGGGGAAGGGAAAGGAAGAUGAUGGAAACCUCCACACUGCAAUCAAAUUCACGGGACAAGCGAGAGCCAGAGCCCCGACAGUUGGUUGCCUCGCUCGGCUCUAUCUCCAUGAUUUGAUAAGUAUCUAGAUAUUAUUAGUAUUAUUAUUAUUAGUAUUAUUAUAUCGCUUCCUCCGAAUCCCUAUCAUUGUCCAUUCCUAUUCACCUUAUCAUUCAAAAGAUACAAUCAAAUCAGGUACUAAAACACUCUUACAAAAUAAUAUCUUAUAUUUAAAAUUUUAAUUUUUUUAUAAAAUUGAUACAUUUCAUAAUUUUUUAAUACCAUAAAGUCAAAAUAGUAUAAUAAGAGGUAAUUUUUGAAUAUAAAAAAAAGUAUAGUUGAUAUUAAAAAAAAUCAAAGAUGACAUAGAUUUAAGAUUUAAUAUAUCCAAGAAACAAAAACAAAUAAAAGAAAGUAAUACAGUAUUUCACUAUUGUACAGGUUAGCAACUUAAUAAUUAAGUAGUUAAAUAUUACUAAUGAGAAUAAGUCAUUUUUUUAUUGCGGUUUUUUUUUCUUAUUUCAUAAGUAUUUAUAUACAUAUGCACAUUUAUGUGUAUACAUAAAUGUCAUAAUUAUCAAUAUUGUCCAAUAUUCAAUACAUAUCACAUGAUAUGAUACAAUAUUAAUAGAAAACAUACGUAUUUAUAAUUAUAUCGCAUUUGAUUAAAUAUCAAAAAUAUAUCAUACGAUACACGAUACAUAUCUUACGAUACAAGACGUAUCAUAUGAUACGGUCGAUACACCUUUAUAAACUUAAUUCUAACUAAUUAUUAAAAUUUUAUUUAUUUAUUUAUUUAUUUUUGAGUUGAAAUAUGAAAAAUUAUUUUUUAUGAGUUUCAAUGUUUAAGAUUUAGAUUUUAAAUAAAAAAUACUAAAGAAUCAAAUUCUCCUUUGAUUUCUAAUAUUUUUAAUUUUUAAUCAAUAAAUUAAUAUGAAAAAUGUAUAUUUUAUUUUAAAUAUAUAUUUUAUUAAAAAUAUGUUGAGAGUUUAAAUUAAAAAAUAAUCAUUUUUUCAAGUUAUACUCUAGAAUCUUCAAUUCCAUUAAAAAUGUAAUAAUUUUAACGUUUUUAUUUUAUAUGUAUAAACAUUAUUUAUAAUUUUAAUUUUAAAAUUUAUUAUCGUAUCUUACGUCACCAUAGAAAGCGAUAUUAGAUUUUCAAAAAUAAGAUUACGAUGCAUGAUACAUAUCUUGAUUUAACAACUAUAAUAUAUAUAUAUGUGUGUGUGUGUGUGUUCAAUUCCAUAAAAAAAUUAUCAUCAAAAAUUAUAUUAAAUGUGGUUUUAAAUGGGAUGCUUAUAACAGGUUUUAUUAUGUUGCAGUUACAAUUUUGUUGAAUUUAUAAAUAGCUAUUAUGAUUAGAUUUUGAACUUCAAUACUAUCUUUCACUUGUAUUUGAAGCUCAAGUCUUCUUUUACAACUUAAAAAGUUCCUCUUCGACCUUUUCAUUUCUUUACAUUUGCACAUUUACCUUGCAUAUAUUCAAAUGUUGGGUGCUGUAUUCCAAUGUCGGUAUGACUAUCUUUUAUCCAUGAUUUGUGUAAUUACUUGUAUAUUAUGUUUGGUUGGGAGAAUGAUAUAAUCAUUUCCCUUUUUAUCGUUAAUCCUUCUUUAACAUUUUAUUUGAUUGGAAUUUAAUAGUCAUUUAGGGAGAUGGGGACUUGUAUUGGCUCUUCCAAGAAGGAAGAAAAGAGUAAAAAAAAUUAGUGGAUAAAAAUGUUCUUCAUUAAUUUUAAGAAUUAUCACACUAUAUAAAAUGUAAUUUAUUCAUUUCUUUAAAUUUCUUUCUCUCUCGACCCAACUACCUUUCUCAUUCUCUCACUAAAUUAAAAUAAAUUUAAAAUUAAAAAAAAAAAAAAAAAAAAAAAAAAAAGUUUAAAGUUGAAAAUAUUAAAAANNNNNNNNNNNNNNNNNNNNNNNNNNNNNNNNNNNNNNNNNNNNNNNNNNNNNNNNNNNNNNNNNNNNNNNNNNNNNNNNNNNNNNNNNNNNNNNNNNNNNNNNNNNNNNNNNNNNNNNNNNNNNNNNNNNNNNNNNNNNNNNNNNNNNNNNNNNNNNNNNNNNNNNNNNNNNNNNNNNNNNNNNNNNNNNNNNNNNNNNNNNNNNNNNNNNNNNNNNNNNNNNNNNNNNNNNNNNNNNNNNNNNNNNNNNNNNNNNNNNNNNNNNNNNNNNNNNNNNNNNNNNNNNNNNNNNNNNNNNNNNNNNNNNNNNNNNNNNNNNNNNNNNNNNNNNNNNNNNNNNNNNNNNNNNNNNNNNNNNNNNNNNNNNNNNNNNNNNNNNNNNNNNNNNNNNNNNNNNNNNNNNNNNNNNNNNNNNNNNNNNNNNNNNNNNNNNNNNNNNNNNNNNNNNNNNNNNNNNNNNNNNNNNNNNNNNNNNNNNNNNNNNNNNNNNNNNNNNNNNNNNNNNNNNNNNNNNNNNNNNNNNNNNNNNNNNNNNNNNNNNNNNNNNNNNNNNNNNNNNNNNNNNNNNNNNNNNNNNNNNNNNNNNNNNNNNNNNNNNNNNNNNNNNNNNNNNNNNNNNNNNNNNNNNNNNNNNNNNNNNNNNNNNNNNNNNNNNNNNNNNNNNNNNNNNNNNNNNNNNNNNNNNNNNNNNNNNNNNNNNNNNNNNNNNNNNNNNNNNNNNNNNNNNNNNNNNNNNNNNNNNNNNNNNNNNNNNNNNNNNNNNNNNNNNNNNNNNNNNNNNNNNNNNNNNNNNNNNNNNNNNNNNNNNNNNNNNNNNNNNNNNNNNNNNNNNNNNNNNNNNNNNNNNNNNNNNNNNNNNNNNNNNNNNNNNNNNNNNNNNNNNNNNNNNNNNNNNNNNNNNNNNNNNNNNNNNNNNNNNNNNNNNNNNNNNNNNNNNNNNNNNNNNNNNNNNNNNNNNNNNNNNNNNNNNNNNNNNNNNNNNNNNNNNNNNNNNNNNNNNNNNNNNNNNNNNNNNNNNNNNNNNNNNNNNNNNNNNNNNNNNNNNNNNNNNNNNNNNNNNNNNNNNNNNNNNNNNNNNNNNNNNNNNNNNNNNNNNNNNNNNNNNNNNNNNNNNNNNNNNNNNNNNNNNNNNNNNNNNNNNNNNNNNNNNNNNNNNNNNNNNNNNNNNNNNNNNNNNNNNNNNNNNNNNNNNNNNNNNNNNNNNNNNNNNNNNNNNNNNNNNNNNNNNNNNNNNNNNNNNNNNNNNNNNNNNNNNNNNNNNNNNNNNNNNNNNNNNNNNNNNNNNNNNNNNNNNNNNNNNNNNNNNNNNNNNNNNNNNNNNNNNNNNNNNNNNNNNNNNNNNNNNNNNNNNNNNNNNNNNNNNNNNNNNNNNNNNNNNNNNNNNNNNNNNNNNNNNNNNNNNNNNNNNNNNNNNNNNNNNNNNNNNNNNNNNNNNNNNNNNNNNNNNNNNNNUAUGUUAGUGUUUUUAGUUAGUUUAGCAUAUUUAGAAACAAAACAACAAGAAAAGAAUUUAUUUUCUCCAACAACCAUCAAUGGCCGAAUUUACCAUGUGUUGAGUGAGGAUGAAUUUGAUUUUUAUUCUAGAAGAAUUGGUUAGAAAAUGAUGAAUAAUGGUGAGAAAAUUAAGUAGGAAAAAUCAUGGUGUUAGUGCACUGUAAUGGCCGAAUUUUUCCAUGAAGAAAUGGGAGGGUUUUGAUGCUGAAAUUGAUGUAUUUGAAUAAUGUUUGGUGAAUUGAGGUAUUAGAAAAGAAAUGGAGUAAUUUGGGAUUAAAUUAGACGCGUUAGUAAUUUAAUCGGGUGAUAAGACGAAUUAGACCAAUACCGGGUUUAGAUAGUUAUUAGUGCAUUUUUGCAUUCCAUAUCAUGCAUUAGUAGUCUAAAUUAGUUUAAUUUCAAUUUAGUACCAAUGUAGUGAGUUUCUCGAUUUUGUACUGUGUCGAGGUGGCAAGUCCUCCGAUAAAGGUAAGAGAAUUGCAUCCGAGGACCAGUAGUCUGAGUAUUUUGAGAAUCUGCACUUUAGACAUUGUGAGUAAACUUACUGUCAUUUUAAUUAUCUAUGGUGGUUUUUAGAUGAUUUCAUGAAUUCUAUGGAAAAAGGGAUUUAAAAAGGUAAAUUUUCAUGUUUUAUGAAUAAAUGCAUUUCAAUGAAAUUAAUUUAUAAAUUGUUUUGAAAUUAAUAAUGAUUUUGAAAAAUAGAGUACACGGAGACUAUUAAUUGUUGCAAUUCGAUUGUUUAAAUUGAUUGGCUUAUGGUAAAUCGGGCAUGAUUGGCUAGUUGGCAAUUGUAUUGAAAUACGAAUUGUUUGGUUGUCUUGAAAGACUGCGAAUUACAAAAAUUGCCAUAUCAUGUUAUUGAGUUUUAUUGUAUGGUGGAUUAUAUAUUAAUUAAUCACUGCAGUAGGGGGUUUCUGUGGACCAGCUUUUUAGAGGGGCAUGGUAAACCCCAUUAUAUUCUUACCUCGAAAAGAGAGGCGCGUAGGGUAUCUCCUAGGGUAAAGUUUAGAGUUCACUUCACGUUAAACCACCACGUGAGGGAGAAUUCAGCCAACGCCAAAGAACGGCUAGGUUUUCGAAAUAAAAAAGUAAUUUAUGCGAAAUGUGAAUUUUUAACAGCCUUGGCGGUCUCGGUAGGAUGCCUCGGUCAAGGUGUCCUCGAGAAUGGAUUUAUAGCACAAGCCUAGUUUUUAUGAAAUUCAUAAGCCUCUUUACGUAUUUUGAAUGAAAUGUGUUCUAUUGCAGUGACCUAGUUUACGAUGUUUCACUUUAUUGUCUCCAUGUACUCAACUCUAGAUGUUUAUGAUGAUGUAUGUUUACUCAUUGGGAUUUUAUAAUCUCACCACCCUCCUUUCCAGCUAUUUCAAGUUCAGUAUAGACUGUAGAUAGCUUAUCUCAUCGAGGACUAUCGUUAGAUCUGCAUUUUCCAAACCGUAGGUUCACAGUCCUCUUUACUUUUGUUUAUUCGGGGGCCCUCUUGUUAUUGUAAAUUAAAUUAAAUAUUUUGGCUUACUGUAUUACAGUAUGUAUAAAUUUAUUUAGCUUUUACGCUACAAAAAAUUAUUUACGUAUAACUCUAUAAAUAUUGUUUUAUAAGAAAAUAGAAUAUUUUACUUAAUAUUUCUUUUAUUUUCUUAUUAUAUUCCACUAACCAUAAUUUCGUUUUAAAUGAAGAUUUUAGACUUUUAAACUCAUUUUGAUUAUGAAUUAUGUGUUUUGUACUUGUAUAUUACAUUUUAGCCAGUUUCGAAAUUUUUGAGAAAAAUAACCAAAAUAUCCCUGUGAGACGAAAAUUAAUAUUUUAUUUGUUUUAAGUUGGAAACAGCUUAAAAUCUUUUAGAACACGAUAUUUGACAAUGGUUGCUCACAAAGGAAAUGAGAAACUGAUAGUAAAGCUUUGCGGGGUUUCUGGUUGACAUUUCGGGCAAUGAGUGUCUACCGGGACACCACGACAGUUGUCACGGGCUCGAGGGGAGUACCAGGUCGUGACAGAAAACAUUAUUGUAGUCGACCAUAAAAGGUUUCUAGUCGACUAUGCUUGUGAAGAACUCGUUUUAAGCCAAUUUGAAAACCUUGUAGUCGACUUUACUGAUCCUAUAGCAACCCUUGGUCAGAAAAUUGUUUUCAAAAGAUGCAAAAAAAGUUUCAAAGAAAGUUAUGAUGCAUAUGUAAAUCUUUUGCAAACCUACUUAAUCAAAUGCAAGCAAAUGAUCACAAAAAGAAAAUUGAUUUUUUUUGAAGGAAAAAUUCCUUCCGAAGGAAAAAAUUUCGUUCGAAAUUUUCCGUUGUAAAUUUUCAAUAGAAUUCCAACGAAAAUUUAACUUGAUUUUUUUUUCGGAUUUCCAAUAGAAUAUUUCCGUUGAAAAUCCAUUGAAAUUUUUUUGGUGUAAAAAAAAUUUAAUCCUGCCAAACUUUCCUACGGAAUUUUUGACGAAUUUUCUUUGGAAUUUUCCAAUGGAAAAUAAUUUGUUGGAAAUUCGUCGAAAAAAUUUAUGACACCAAAAAAAAUUAAAACCCGCUAAAUUUUUCAAUAGAAUUUUUCGUUGGAAAAAACUAUUACCAACGGAAUAUUCCGUUGGAGAAUUCCGUCUGUUUUACUUUUUUUAAUUUUUUAUUUAAAAUAUAUUAAGAAUUUUUAAAAAUUUUAUUAAUCAUUUAUAAGAAAUAUAUUAAUAAAAUUAAAUAUAUACAUACUAAGUUUUAUAAUAUUAAAAAUUUAAAUAUGUUUUCCUUUACUUUUUUUAUAUAUUUUGAAAACUUUAUUGAAUCAUAAAUUAUAAAUUAAUAGUUUCAAAUUCAUUAAUGUUAUAAAAUUAAAAAGGUUAUAAAAAUAACAUAAUAAUUAAUUUUUUAAUUUUAUAAGAAUAGAUGAUAAAAUAUAGUAAUAUAUUAAACAAAAAUUAAUAAUACUUUAGGUACUAAUAAUAAUAAAUAUAAAUUAAUUAGAAGAAUGAUGCCUAUAGUAAACUAAUUAAUAUAAUAUAUUAAAAAAUAUUAAUUUAUUAUAAAUAUACAAAUUAGAAUCAUAGUUAUAGAAUAUAUUAACUAUAUAUAUAUAUAAAUUAACCUGUAAUAUUAUGAAAUUGCAAGUUAUCUAUUUUAAAUGAUAUAACUUUAUAAGUUAAUAUAUAUAUUGAUAUUAAAUAUCCUUCGUAUAUAUUAAUAUGUUAUAAUUAUUAUACAUAAAUAUAGUUGUAUACUUAUAAAUGUAUUAAUUAUAAUAUACACAUAUCUAUUUUAUACGUAAGCAUUAUUACUAUAAUUUAUAAAAAAAUUUAUUUAUAUGAAUACAGUUAAUAACUUUAUUAGUUCUUACUUUAUAAGUUAUACAAACUUUGUAAUAUUUAUAACAUAUACUUUGUGUCAUUUCAUAUAUAUACAAUAAAAUAAUUAAACAUUAUGCUUUACAUUAAUUAUAUUCAUAUAAGAUAUUUCUAAUAUUAUUUUGACUACGUCGUCUUUUAAGAUUAGUUUCAUAUUAUAAAUUUAAUAAUUGAAAUAAUGGGUAUUUAUAAAUAUAUAACCAUAUAAGGUAUACAAACAUAAUAAUACUUGAUGUAAUAAUAUUAGUUAAUAUAAAUUAAGAAGAAUGAUAGAAAACUUAAUUAAUAAUAUGUAUAAAAUAUAUUAGUUUAUUAUUUGAAAUUCGCAUGAAAGAGACAACUCUUUACCCUUUUUAGGUGAAAUUCUAUCAUUGGAUCACUCAAAAUAAUCAUUUCAUUUUUUUUAUUUGCAUUUUUUUGUAAUCUUUAUAUUUGUCUCAUAUAUUUUAUUUAUUAUAUUUACAAGUACCUAAUUAUAUUUAUACUAUAAAUAUUUCUUUCUUUCCUUUUAAUCUUAUAAAUAUCUCUCUUUCCUUUUUGUCUUAUCCUUCUCAUUCACUUAUUAUUAUUACUAUUUUUUAAAACUAAACUAAAUCUAUUUUUGGUUUUCUUACUAGUUAUUCAAUUAUUUUAUAUGCAUGUUCUUCUAAAUCCCAAUUUUUUUAUGAUUAACAAAAUAUUUAAAACAUUUUUUUACUAUUUUUACUAUUAACAUUCACCUUUAUUUUUCUUGCGUACACUAAUUUCCAUAUUUUAAAAUAUUAUCUAAAAAUUUUAGGACAUUAUACUAAAUAAUUUAACUUAAUUCAAUGUCAUCAAAUCACAUAUGUAAUCCAAGCAUCUCAAAACACAAUAAAUCUUCAAGGAAAGAAGUGUGAUUCUUUACCUAGCUUGGGUUCAGAUGAUGACCCAAGUGUAAUAUUGCAGCCCAUCGGAACUCCUCUGUCAAAUGCACCGUUGCAAGCCUAAAAGAGUGAUUUUACUCCUUCUAAAAAAUGGUACCAUUUUGGGUUUUUAACCCAACCUUUCUCUUCUACUCUCAUUUUCCCCCAUCUUCUCUUUCUCUUAUACCGCUUGCUCUCUCCUUACUCUGAAAAGCUUCCAAUUUUGCUCCUUCACCAACUCUCUCUCACCAUAUUUUCAGCUUAAGUGUUAGCCUAAAUGCAGUGUUAGCCUAUUUCGAUCUUUUACCCGAUAAAUCGAUAUACGCGUCCGUUUAAACUCCAAAUUAAUUUUUUUCAGUUUCUAUACCUCAAUUGCACCCAAAUUGACUUAAUGUCCCUCAGUGUGGUGCAAAUUAUCAGUCUCGAUAGCAAAUUACGAAAAUACCCCUAGUGGGUAAAAAUUUAUAUUUUUGCUCCGAAAAUUCUCAUUAUUUUUCUAGGCUCAUAAUUCAUCAUUAUUCAUCAUAAUUCCUCAAAUAAACAUCAAGAUCAGUAGCCAAUAUUCUCCUAGAAAAUUCAGCAUAAUGGGUUUCAAUGGGAGAAAAUUAUAUUUUCUAGAUUAUUUUUGCUAUAUUUCAAUAUAACUUAACUAAAAUCACUUAAUUCAAUUAAAAUCAACCAAAAAUCAAGCUCAAAACUCAUCCAUGGAGGUUUGGCCAGCAUGGGUGUCCAUACCCACUUUCUAAUUUUGCAUGGAAAUGAGAAAAAAAAUGCAUAGGUAGUGAAAAUCACAAGGAAAAUAAAUGAAAUUUACCUUUUCAAUGCUUGAUUUCUUGAUUUCUCUUGAUUUUCCCCAAAUUUUCAGGUAGGGUUCUUAUUUGUUUUUUUCCCCCUUUUCUCCUCUGGUUUGGACAGCUGAAGAAGAUAAGAAUUCUGGAAUUUUUACCUUUUUAAAGACUAAAAUAAUAUAAUAUUAUUUUAUUCAUUUUUUUAAUGUUUUAUUAAUUCCUUAAAUUUUAGCCAUCCAUUUGUUUCCAAAUUUUCACCAUACACUUGUCCCACAUAUCCAUAGCUUAGAUAAAAUUCUCAGACUUAUCCAAAGUCUUGGUGGAGUAAUUUUUGAAAUUUACACUUUUGCCCCCGUAAAAGUAAAAAAUUACAUUUUUACCCCAAAAACUAAAAAAUUGCCCAUAGAUAUAUUUUUCAUCCCUUAUACUCAUACCAUUCUACAAUUUGUCAAAUUUGAUCUAAAUUCUCUCAAAAUCUCAAAUUUUGUCCGCGAGUGGUAAAAUUUCGAUUUUGCCCCUACACUCUAAAAAUCACUGGAAUUAAACUUUUUCACUGCCAAACCCUCAAAUUAUACUCCAAUAAGUCAAAUGGGGCCAAAAAAAGAAAAAAAUUCUUUUCCAAAAAUUCUCAUUGUGUCCCUAGGUGGCAAAUGACCAUUUUGCCCUUAGAUAGUAAAAAUUUCGGUUUGACUCCAAAUUGAUCCUCAAACUCCAAAUCACCAUAUUAAACCAUUAUGGGACUUUAAUAUUCUUAAUUUCAUUUUAAAUUCUCUAUUUGAUCUAGUUCGAGGCUUAAAUUAACUUAAUUGUACCAUUUGGUACAUUGUCAUCUUUUAACAAUUUUUCUUUCGGGGCUUUCCAAGUAUGCAAGCAUAUUGUCAAUCAUAUGAAUAACAUGGAAAGUAUUUUAUAAGGUCGGGCUUUACAUAUCAGCACCGAACAACCAAGCCCAAAAGCUCCCAAAUCUUUCUUCCUCUCUCCCUACUACCGGCGUCACACAACCAAGCCCCAAAGCUCUCCCUUUUCGAUGCCCAAAUCUUUCUCCUUCUCUCCCUUCUAUCGAUGCCACAAAACCAAGCCCAAAAGCUCUCCCUUUCGACGCCCAAAUAUUUUUCUCUCACUCCAUUUUACCGACAUCUUCUCUCCCUUCUUCCUCUUUUUCUUUCUUCUUUCUUUCUUGGUUUUUUUCUUCUCUCUCAUUAACCGAACCCCCUUUUUCCUUAGCUUUCUCCUUUUUUGUGCCUUUUUUGUUAUGAUUUUGGUUAUUUUUUUUAGUGCUUGUGGUUAAGUGUUUUGGCUGGUAGAACUUAGGAUCUUUCUUUGGUUAUUGUGUUUUUAUUUUUUAUUUUUGAGAGAUUGUGUCACGACCCGGAACUCCCUUCGAGCCCGUGACAACCGUCGCAGUGUCUCGAUGGGCACUUAUCUCUCAAAAUGCCAUCCGGAACCCCGCAAGGCUUAAUAUCAGUUUCUCAUUUUCCCCGGUGAGUAACUAUUGCCAAAUAUUAUGUUCUAAAGGAUUUUGAGCUAUUUCCAACUUAAAACAGACAAAACGAAAAUUUUGUCUCAUAGGGGCAUUUUAGUCUUUUUUUUUUCUAAAAAUCUCAAAAUCAGUUAAAAAUGUAGUAUGCAAGUGGAAAACACAUAUUUCAUAAUCAAAAAUAAUUUUGGAUGUCUAAAACAUUCGUUUAAAAUGAAAUUAUGACUAUUAGUAUAAAAUAAAAAUAUUGAAGAAAAUAUUCAAUUUUCUCAUAAAACAAUAUUUUAAGAACACUACAUAAAUAAUUUUUACAGCGUAAAAGUAAAAUAAAUUCAUAUAUAUUGUAAUAUAGAUAAUCAGAGUAUAAAAUUAAAUUUGCAGUGACACAUGGGCUCACGAACGACUAAAAGUAUCUAGAAAGAUAAACCUAUAUAUUUUGAGGAUGCCGUCCAAUUGUAACCCUCGAUGAAAUGAGCUAUUUACCGACUAUCCUGAGCCUGAAAUGGGUGAAAAGGAGGGUGGUGAGAUUAUAUAAUCCCAGUGAGUAAACAAAUAUCAUUUAAAAUAUCUAAAGGCGAGUAAAAUGAGACUAUAAAAACAUUUCAUUAAACUGUAAUUUAUCAUCUUUCGACUUAUUUCAACCAAAUGAAAUCAAUUUAUUUAAAUCAAGUAAUCAAUAUGGCUUAUGAACUUCUUAAAACUUUGGCUUGUGCCGAAAUCAUUAUCAUACUCAGUUAUCAAGGAUACCUUGAUCGAGGGCUAUCCCAACCGAGUCUGCCAAGGCUGUUAAAAAGUUUUGAACACAUAAAUCAUAUUUUUAUUUUGAAAAUAUAGCUGUUCCUUGGCGUUAGCAGAGUUCAUCAUCACGAGGUGGUUCGGCGUGAAGUGAACUCUAAAACUGUUAGCCUCAAGAGUUAUCCACCCGCGCCUCUCAUACUGAGGUAAGAUAUAAUGGGGUUUACUGUGCCCCUCUAAUAAGCUAGCUCACGAAACCCUUCUACUGCAGUGGCUAGUUAAAUAACCCACCAUACAAUAAAAUUCAUUCUAGCAUGACAUGACAAUUAUUGUAAUUCACAGCCUUUCAAGACUAAAUACACAUUUCAUAUAUUUCAACAUAAAUACCAAUUCAGCCAUUCAUGCAAAUAUUAUCAUAAGCCAUUUAUUCAAAUCAUAAAUCUACUACAUACCAGUGGUCUCCAAUUACUCUAUUUUUCAAAAUCGUUAUUUCGUUUCAAUACAAUUUAUAAAAUCAUUUUAUUUAAACAUAUUUUAUUUGUAAAACCAAAAAUUAACCAUUUAAACUCAUUUUCAUAAAAUUCCACCGAAAUCGAUUAAAAUCAUACUUUAGAUAAUUAAAAUGAUGAUAAGGUUACUCACUAUUUCGGGAGUCGAAUUCCAAGUACUCCGACUAUCGAUCCUCAAGUACAAUUUCUUUGCCUUUAUCGAAGAACUCACCACCUUGACAAAUUGCACAAUUAAGAGGUUUACUACUUUGGUACUAAACCAAAAUAAACUAAUUUAUACUACUAAUGCAUGGUAUAAAGUGCAAAAUGUCUAAAUUUUGCCUAAACGCGAUGUUAGCCUAUUUCAAUCUUUUACCCAAUAAAUCGAUAUACGUGUCCGUUUAAACUCUAAAUUAAUUUUUUUUUCAGUUUAUAUACCUCAAUUGCACCCAAAUUGACUUAAUGUCCCUCAGUGUGGUGCAAAUUAUCAGUCCCAAUAAUAAAUUACGAAAAUACCCCUAGUGGGUAAAAAUUCAUAUUUUUGCUCUGAAAAUUCCCAUUAUUUUUCUAGACUCAUAAUUCAUCAUAAUUCCUCAAUAAACCAUCAAGAUCAGUAGCCAAUAUUCCCCUAGAAAAUUCGGCCAAUAAUGGUAAUGGAGGAAAAUGAAUUCUUUUCUUGUUGUUUUGUUUCUAAAUAUGCUAAACUAACUAAANNNNNNNNNNNNNNNNNNNNNNNNNNNNNNNNNNNNNNNNNNNNNNNNNNNNNNNNNNNNNNNNNNNNNNNNNNNNNNNNNNNNNNNNNNNNNNNNNNNNNNNNNNNNNNNNNNNNNNNNNNNNNNNNNNNNNNNNNNNNNNNNNAAGAAGAAAUGCAUGGGAAAGGUAGAUCACAAGUCAAAAUCAAGAAAUUUUACCUUUGAUUGCUUGAUUCCUUGAAAUCCCACACUUUUUCUUCAAUUUUCCCACCUAGGUUUCUUGUUUCUUUCUUUUCCUCUCUUGUUCUUAGUAUGGCCGGCCACUUGAUGAGAAAAUGGGAUAAAUAUGGGCUGAUUUUAAUGGAAAAUAAUAAACUAUUCUUGCUUGACAUGUGGCAUGUUUCCAUUGGUCCAUUUUUUAAAUUUUUUAAAUUUUAAUCUUUUUUAUCUCCACCACACAAUUAGUCAACGGUCAAAAUGAGGAUAAGGGAUGACCAUGUGCUGGACAAAUGUCCUGGUGAUGGAAAAUUACUGUUUUGCCCCUGAGGUGGCAAAAUUACCAUUUUACCCUUAUGCUCCGAAGAAUACCAAGAAUAAAUUUUUUUUCACUUUUUAACCUCAAAUCAUACUCCAAUACUUAAAUCAUACUCCAAUAAGUCAAAUGGGGCUAAAAAAUCUUUUCUAAAAAUUUUCAUUUUGUCCCUAGGUGGCAAAUGACCAUUUUGCCCAUGAUAGUGAAAAUUUUGAUUUGACUCCAAAUUGAUCAUUGAACUCCAAAUCACCAUAUUAAACCAUUCUGGGACUUUAAUAUUCUUAAUUUCAUCUUAAAUUCUCUAUUUGAUCUAGUUCGAUGCUUAAAUCAACUUUGUUGUACCUCUAGGUACAAUACCGACUUUUGUCGAUUUUUCGGGACUCUCAUAGCAUGCAAACAUGCUAUCCAUCACAUGUAUGUCAUGACAGAUAUUUUAUAGAGUCAGGUUUGAUAUGUUCUCCCCUAAUUAGAUCAACCAUAUGAUCUUUCUUCAUGUCUAAUUUCGAUAUUCGGCUAAAUAUUAAUAUUUUAAUAUUAUUUUAUUCUAAAAAUUUUAUCUUGUCUCCUUAGUUCCCAAAAUACCUUAUUAUACCUCAAUUCACAUCCGAUAAGCUUUAUUUGUGACCAUAUCAAAGUAUGAGGCAUUUCAGAUUGGUUUCUUUUUUUGAUCAUUUUCUAGUUUUCGAAAGUCCUUCUCCAGCCUCUUCUUUGAACUAGAGUGUUAGGGUUCACAUAGAACCCAAUUGUCCAAGGUAAUCAUGCUUUUCUCAACAUGAGUUCCGGAUGGGUUGCCUUCACGUCAAAAACAAAUCCACCGAAAAUGACCCUAAAUCCUAGCUGCCUGAGGAGCAUUCAAUGCUCUGUAUUUUGUUAACAAUGGAGGCCAAAAGUGCUUCCAACCUCUUCUUCUUUCUUUUUUUUUUAAAUUUUGGUUUAAUUUAUUUAAUUAAUUAAUUUUAUUUAAUUUAUUAAAAAGGGUGUCUACACUCAUAUUUAAGUCUUUAAUUUUGAUUCAGGUACUCACUUUGUUUUAUAUAUGUAGUGUGUGCUGAAGUGUUGAAUUUAUUUGAGUUUAUUGUUGUGAUUGAGAUUUAUCUGAGUUCAAAUUCAGACAUUAAGAUUCUGCCAGUAAGUGUUGAAUUUAUUCUUGUUUAUUUUUCAUGCCUUUUGUUUGAUUAUGAUAUUGGAUUUUUGAAAUGCCUUUUCACACAUUGAUUUAUCUUGUGAAGCCAUAGGACAUGUAACAUUCAAACAUAUCCCCUUGAAGGCAACCAUUGUGCUUAUCAACUUGCGAAACCAGGAAUGAGAUGCAGCAUUUUAUUGAUUGCUUGGCUUUGAUUUUGGUUAUGAAAAUAGAAAGAACUUGCUGAUAUGAUUGUUGUUUGUUAGCUAUUUGUUUUGAUUUUGGCCAUGAUUCUAUUAUGAUGGGGCGUUAUUUGGGUUGUUUGUUUCAAUGUAAUUAAACUGGUUACAUGAGCUUUUCUUGCUAGCUUGUUAUCUAAUACUUUGUAUUUUACAUUCUAAUAAUGAAAAUGCAUGAAUGACUUACCAAAAAAUUUUUUUUUGAUGAUCAAUAUUUAUUGUAAAUUUUGUAAGAUUUGCAUGGUUUGCCUUAUAGGUUGCUAUAAAAUUUGUAAAAUUGUUAAAUUUAUAAAAUUUGAACCUUUUUGUAACAUAUUAGAAUGUAGAAUGUGUUGUUAUUAUACAAUAUAAGUGCAUAUUUUAAAUGCUAUCAUACAUUUUAGGAUUGCAGAUAUAUAUUAUAUGGCUGCAUAUUAAUUUUGCUGCAAAAUCUAAUAAAAAAGUGUAGCUAAACUUUUCAAUACAUUGGCUAAGGUUACACUUUUUCUAAGUGCAGCCUUAAUUUAAGGCAGUAGAUUUUUAAUCUAUGGCUGCACAUAUUUUUGUAGCCACAUGUUAAAAAUGUUGUAGUGCUUGCUACAAAAGUCUUUGCUGUGACCAUUGAAAGUCCUUACCAACUUGCUGCCUUGUUUUCUUGUUUUGGUUUUGGUUUGUUUGAUUUGUUUGCUUUGUCUUGUUUUUCUUUUUGCUUGGUCUUGUUUUGAUAGUUUCUGUUUUGGGUGGUUGUUUUUGUUGUUGGUGAGAGAAUUCUUGGAUGGUUAGUUUUUACCACUUUAGCAGCGUCAAGAUGAAAGCAACCUAGAUUUUGUUGUUGAAGUUGUUUCUAUCUUUUUUUAUGAUUCUAAAAAACUGCUCAAUGAUCUCACCAUGGCUUUGUAAGAUCUCAAUCUGUGUCAGCUUUCUUCUUGCCAUAACUGUCUUUUACUAUUAUUAUUAUUAUUAUUAUUAUUACAUCUUUGAGUUUCCUAUUUUAUUUUCUCCUUAACUUUUCCUUUUUUGAUAUAGAGAUCAACUAAAUGUAGACUUCUAAAAGUUAGAUGCACAUGUUCAUCAGUUGAAGGGUAGCAGCUGCAGGUACUUAUAAAUUUUUCUUUCUUUAAUGUCAAGCUGCGACAACUUAAACUAUCUUUUUUUAUCUGCUUUGUAAAGCUUUUCUUGUUCUCUUUAUUUUGAAAUUUCUAUUUUCUCUUCAAUAGUAGUUGAACCCUAUAGUUGCACUACAAAAAGUAUAAUUCAAAUGGAAAAAGGUCUGACUUGUUAGAUUUGACUAUUCAAGUGAUAGAGAAAUUAAAGUUGAAACAAGAUUUUUAGAAAGUUGGGUUGCUCUUGUUUUUGCUCGUUGUUUAAUGAGAAUGGUUGUUGUGUGUUUGUGUGUUAAACAACAUUGGUGCACAGAGAGUUAAAAAUGCUUGCAUUGCUUUUUGCAACUUCUUUGAGGAGCAGAACAUUGCAACGUGAGUUGCUUUUCUCUGUCAGCUUUUUUUUUUUCAUGUCUUCUUUUCUGUUCCUUUUCACUCAAAGCUUAUGAAGCUUGAUAAAAAAUUUUUGCAGGUGCUUGAGAUGUCUUCAACAAGUGAAACAAGAGUAUUACCUUGUGCAUUUUAGAUACUUUUUUAGUAUGGCAUACAAUAACACGUUUAGCUUUAUAUUAUAUUUGUUUGACAUUCUGAGAUAUUAUGUGUUUAUGACAAUUUUUAAUUGCAUGAACUUAAUUUUGGACUUUUGAUUUUAAUGCGUAUUUUUCUUAUCAAUUUUGGAUGGGAAUUAUGGAUGUUAAUUGAUAAUUUUUACCAAAAUUUUAGUUGGUAAUCUCCGUUGGAAAAACAUUACCAACGAAACAUUUCAUUGAAAAUUACUAACAGAAUUCAGUAGGAAAUGCUUUUCCAACAGAAUUUCGUUGGAAAUGCUUCUCCAACAAAAAAGUCCGUUGGAAAUUUUAGACAGAAUUUUUCAUUGGAAAAGCAUUUUUGAUGGAAUUUAUGUUGAAAAUUUCUAACGGAAUUCCGUUGGAAAUUGAUUUCCUACGGAAUUAUUUCCAACGGAAUUUUUUGUGGGCAAUGCUUUUCCAAUGAAAAUUUUGUUGGAAAUUUCCAAUGGAAUUCCGUUUGAAAAGAAUUUCCAACAAACUUUCUGUUGGAAAUUUCAAACGGAAUUCCAUUAAAUUAUUUUCCAAUAGAAAUUCCAAUGGAAUUACUAUGGGAUAGCCAACAGAUUAUGCAUUUUUUCCAACGAAAAAAGUAUUUCCGACUAGGCUUUUACUGACAGAAUUUCCAACGAAAAAAGCUUGUUUUUUGGUAGUGGAUUAUUUUUUAAAUGCUUUAAAUGUUUGUUAAGUACAAAUAAGUGUAACACAAGAAAAAUAUUUUCAAAAUAAAAAAUGUAUUGAUGAUAAAUAAAUACUUAAAAAGAAUCAAAACUAAUAUGCUAAAAAUAUAAAUCAAAUUACAAGCACAUUUAUGUAAUGGGUUUUCUUGAAAUGAAGUAUAGCAAAACAAGGCAAUGAUAAAAUGAAGACAUUAGGUAAAAAUCAAACCUUUUUUCAAAAUGGAUUUCCUAUUUAUAUUAAAAUCAAAGUAAGUGGAUUUUCUAAAGUAGAAUUUCAACAAUAAAUCAUAAAAGCAUAAAUGUAAAUCAAGACAUAAGGAUUUUAUACUAGUUCAGCUUUCUCAAAUGCCUACAUCCACUCCCUUGACUUCAAAGGUGUCACGACCCAAUAUUCGGGUCAUGACCGGCGCAUGGGCCCAAUGGACAUAGCCCACUAAGCCUAAGCAAGCCUAUUUAUGUGACUCCAUUCAUCGAUUUCAUCAUUCGUUCUUGCCACUGUAUUUUGUAAUUCUUACUGACGAGUAUGUCAAAACUUUUCUAUCGAUACCAUAUAUUCACAUUUAUAUGAUUCAAAAUAAUGUCAUCCAUGCCAUUACAUAGUGGCAACAUUAAACAAUAUAAACAUCUAUUGCUUUAGACAUAUACACGUCUUAACAAUUUAUAUUAGGGCACGUGUGUUCAACAAAAAGGGACUUUAGACUUCCAGUGAAGCAACCAUAGCGAAGGUGCAGCUAUUGAAUGCCAUUGAUACCUACCAAAAGAUGGGUACAAGUCUACAAGGACACCUUGACCUAGUUACCGGUUACCUCUUGAUCUGAAAACAUAAAGUUGAAAAUGGUCAGUAUAAACCCAGUGAGUGAACAAGAAGGGAACAAGCAAACAUUAAGAAAUGUUUAACAAAAUCAUGAUGCAUUCAUUUUUCAAAACAAUGCAAUUUGUUUUAGUUAUUAUUAAAACCCCUCAUGUAAACCCCACAUGAGUAAAUCACUUUAUGAAAAGGGUCCAUGUUCAACAAAGGAUUUAGAGAGUGAAAACUUUAAUAGCAUUCAUGCGAAUCAAGUCAAAUAAAUGAUGGGUCCUCAUUGUAGCGAAAAGGCAUUCUUGCUGCAGCGAAGUUAGGAUUCAAGUUAUUAGCCAAACAAGGGUUUCUCAACUAGCCGAGGAUUUCUCACCAAACCUCCUCAUUUCAAACUUAACUAAUUAAUUCCUUAAUGUUAGAAGUCCAUGCUCAACUAUGGUUCCAAAGAAGUGGAAAAUAGGAUAGCAACCGAACAAAAUAAGGAACAAAACAUAAAGUUUUUCAUUGUAGCGAGAUUCAUUCUUGCUGUAGCGAAAUUUAUUCCAUAAAACAAAAAGUUUCUUGCUGCAGUGAGAAGCUAUAGUAACUUUCUCGCUGUAACAAGAUUUCGGCCAGCAUUACCCCUCCAAACUCGAGAGUUUCUCGGUGCAGCGAGAAUCAGAGCACCAAGAAAAAGUUUCCAUUCCCCUCAAGAAAAAGCCAUCCUGCUGAAAUAACAAAAUCAACAUGAAACACAUAAAGAUUUCCAAAGUUCAACAUGCCAAAUUCAUAUGCAUUUCAACCAUAAACCAUAUUCAUGAGUUUUCAUUCUCUAAACAUAUAUACAUAUACAUACAUGGAUAAAUACCAAUACCACUAUCAUCUCAUCCAGCUCAUGUGCAUCCCCCCACAUCGUGCACAUAGCCGGAGUCAUCAUGUGCAUCUCCCCACAUCGUGCACAAUUAGUGCCAUCGUGUGCAUCCCCUCACAUCGUGCACACGAGCACUUUCAUCAUCCAACACCGUCACCACCAUCAUCACCGGCAUGUGCAUCCCCCCACAUCGUGCACACGCACAGUUAUCAUUAUCACACCAUGUCAGCCAUCAAUGCACAACAUAUAUGUAUAUCAACACAAUGACAUAGAAUAAGAAUCCAUAACAGCCACAUGUCAUAUAUAAAGACAAUAAUCAAAAUCUUGUUCCCAAGGUACCCAUUUUUUUAGAAAAGUUGAAUAAACUCAUUCAAAGGUAUUGUACAAAUACAUUCACAUUCCCAAAAUAGUUUUGAAAUCCAAGUUCACUCACCGGUAUCUUGUUAAACCUUUAGUCAACUUUACUUCUCUAAUUGUCCAAAUGGGACGGUGGGGCUUCGUUGGAACCUAUUAUCACAUUAGCAUCACCAUUAAGUCAAGCCACAUACUUAUAAAUUCUAAAAGCUUUCUCUUAGCUAGCUUUCAAAUUUCCAUUUAAGUGGCCAUCUAUGUUCACCAUCCUAAUCACUCUAAAGUGAAUGAACAACCCCAACUACCAAAUCACCCCUAAGUCUAAACACUAAUCAUUUUCAACACUAAAACUCAAUUCUAGUGUACUACUCACUUUGGUAGCUUUGUAUUUGAAAUUCUUUCCAAAAACUUUCAAGCUAUUAUUAAAGCUUCCUCUUUCUCUCUCUAAAACACCUAACUAGUGAGAGAGAGUAUGGAAACAAGAUUUUUCAAGGGUUUUAAAGUGAGAGAGUGGAGGAGCACAAGGGUUUAUGAAAGGGUGCACCAAAAGCAUGAAAAAUGGAACUAUUUUGAGGGAGGUUAUGGAGGUUCAUAUCAAGCUUCCAUGGAGGUUGGAAGUAACGUGAAAGAUAAGAAGGAAGAAGAAGAAGAAGCUGCUGGAAAAUGGGAGAAAAAGUUGCUGGAAAAUGGGAGAAGAAGUUGUUGGAAGAAAGAAAUAUUUAUAGCCCAAGCUUAUCCACUCCACUUAAAUUACCAAAAUGCCCUCACAAGUUAACUUGUUCUCCUCUAAUCCUUUAUGAAAUCUUUUUACUCUUUUGACACUAGGACAACGUCCAUAAUGGUCUAAAAAUGCUCAGGUUCAUGAAAACUAAAAAAUUUUACCUGAGGUGAAAAAUGACCAUUUUGCCCCUACCGUGGAAAUCAUCACCAUUUUUAUUUCCUUUGUCAUGUUACCCAUAAUUUCAUCAUUCAUUUAUGCCUUAGGCCUACUUAGGCCUUAAUAUUGUUUAAAACUUACUUUUAGGGGCUUACUAAGGAAAUGACAAAAUUACCAUUAAUUAGGAAUAUCGCGUUUAUUACUAACUAUGAGUUUAUAAAGGUCAAGGUCUCACAAAAGGAUCUUUUAAUCCAUUAAAAGGAUUCUUACUUUUUAACAGUAUGAAGUAGUAACCCUCACAACAACUUUUUCAUGAGAUUAAGCGAUAACUCCCAUAACGACUUUUUAACGGGAUCAAGUGAUAACUCUCACUAUGCUUUUUCACGAGAUCAAGCGAAACCCAUGGUUUUUAAUGGGCUUAACCAUAAACUCAUACAAUGGCCUUUUUCGGGAUCAAUUAUAACCCUUACAUUAACUUUUUAAGGAUACUUUAGAACUUUUACAAGAAUAACAAGAAUGCCUCUAAAAGGUAUAUUUUGCUAAGUGGGUAUAAUGGAGGAAGAAUACGUAGCAUUGGAUAUAAAGAUAGAAUAUAAAGAUAGGAGUGAAAGCACAAGAAAAUUUUAGCUCAAGAAUUCCUAACAUUAGUUUCUCUCAUUUUCUUUCAAGACUUUGAUCCUUAAGAGUUUGGCCUUUCUCUUUCUUUUUCCUUACUUUCAAAUGCUUCUAAAUGGUCAUUUUUAUAGUUGAAGAAGUAUUAGAGCUGUUAAAGGUGAUUAAAGAAAAAACUAGCCAUUUUUUUUAAAAAAUUUUGUGUCUAACGAUCAUCUAUAGUCAAGUAUAGAAGUUCUUUAGUUGAUCCUUUUCGAAAAAGCUUGUGUUUUUUUCAUCAAAUUCAAAAGGUUGAUUAGCAUUGUUCUAAGGUCGAUUAUCGCUUCAUCAAGUCGACUGUGGCUUCUUUUCUUCAUGAUUUUUCAUCAACCUUGCCAUAAGGUUGACUAUAGGCUUUAUGGGGCUAACUAUGGUUGUGUCUUUUUCAAGUUUUCUCGCAUGUUCUCAUGUGUUCUGCCAUGGGAUCGACUUGCCUUGAUCUAGGAUUGAUUGAAGCUUUGUUUCCUUAAGAUUCUUUGCCAUUUUAGCACUUAACCUCAACUAAUUCUUUUUUGCUUCUUCUUUGUGAUCAAAUGUUAAGUUCAAAGUGAAUUUCUUGUCUUGAGACAACCUUGGUGUAGUAUAAAUUAAUGAUUUUUGAAUGCUUUGAGAUAAACUUCACAAUUUGAGAACAUAUCUUGUAACUUCAACAUCUCAAAGGUAAAUGUUAGAGGGAUCAUAAAUAGAACUUUUUUAAGCAAAUUUAACACUCAUACAAUUAAGUCAUUCAAACUUGUAGAUAUUUGUAGAACAAGUGUGUGAUAAUUCAAUAGCUUCAAGAAUUCACACAACUAAAAAAAUCAAGCUUGUAAUCUUGAAAGAAAAAAUGUAUGAGAGCUAAAUCAUUUCAAGAAUUUGUCAAGGAUUAUUCAAAUAAUGCUCAAGCAAAUUUGAUCAUUUUGUCAUAAUCAAAACUAUAAUUAUUUUAAAGCAAACAUCAAUGAACUAUUCCUGAUUUAUUAGAAAGAGUUUCAUAUAGUGGGGUAAAUUGUUUUUAUAAUAUUAUUUUAAAAGUUUUUCAAUUGUUUAAGAAAAUUCAAAUGAAUCUUAAUUCUUUUAUUGUCUUCAAUCAAAUUCUUAUAUUUUUAUUUUAAGUCAAAUAAGUCCUUAUAACUAAUGAUGGACUAACUAUUAUUAGUCAAAAUAUCACUUGUCAUUUUAAUAUAUAAGGGUAAUUUUGGAAAUUAAUAUUACAUUUCCAAUAAGGUGCUUGUAAACCAAACGCUGUUAUUGUUGACUCCAUAUGUUUUUGAUGAUAACAAAACAUUUCUCAUUCACUAAUGUCUAAUCUUGUUAUUUAGUGUGCAAGAUUUAAUUUAAUACCCUUGACAAAGUUGGUCAUUAAAGGCAAGUCAAAGAGCUUGCUAAGUUUAAUGAAGAGUUAAUCAGUUAAGAAAGAAAGAGAAAGUAUCGAACAAAAAUAGAAUCUUAGUAACUGAUUAUCAAGGGACUUUAAUCAGUUAAGGUAUAGCUAUGUGAUAAGUUGAAGCAAAACAAAAAUAUGCUAAUCGGUUAAGAGGUCUAGUUAAUCUAUUAGAGCACAAGGUCUUAGUAUCUUCAAGUGCCAAAAACAAGUUUGAAAUUAUAAUUGACCGUUGAAGGGAGCCAAAAUGGAAAAGUUCAAAAUUCAAAGAUCUUCUAGUUGAUUAAAGGUGAUUUUAAUCAAUUAUGGUUGAAGGAAGUAAAGCUUCAAUCAGUUAAGGGAAAAGCUAACCGAUUAGAGGAAGACUAUGGUGUAGAGAAGUGACAAUAGAAAGUUUGUAAUCGGUUAAAGCCUGUUAUAACUAGUUAGAGGAAGUCUGUUGAAGAAGAGAAGUCUGAAGACAAAGAAUUCUUAAUUGCUUAGAGUAGAGAACAUAACAGUAGGACAGUGCAAGAUAGAGAAGUUGUAAUCGGUUAGAGCUGCCUGUAAUUAGGAAGUCCCACAUUGAGUAAGAUAGUUAGGAAAUCCUUAGGUAAGCAUAUAGAUUACAUGUUUUGAACAUCAAACUUAGAUUGAACCUUCCAAAAGAAUUAUUGACACUUUUUGUUGUCUGUCACUUUUGACGCAGAAAAUUUUUUUGAGUUUGGAAGGGGUCAAAAUAUGUGAUUUUUAUAGAAUAAUCUUUUGGAAAUAAAAAAUGACGAUAAUGAUUCCUUUGGUUUUUAAAUGAUCAAAAAUUAUUUUUCCUUAAUUUUUGGAGCAUGUUUGCUAGGGUAAAUGGGAACCGCAAAUUUAAUUUCAGUUAAAUUUUUUUGAUUUUCUUCUUGAAAGCAGAAUUUAGAUUUUGAUUCUUUUGGAUUUUUAUUUUUUUUUAUAUUUUUAUUGAAUCCAAAAAAGGGGGUUGCUUGCUUAUUUACAUUAAAUAUCUUAAGUAAAUGGAAAGUAAAAAGUAGAAAAGACAUUUACUUAAAUGGUAUUUAAUGUAAAUAAGUUGAGUAGGUUUUACAGGCAGUCUGUCUCAAAUGUAUCUAUACAUUUUCAUGAUGUAUCGAUACAUAUAGCCUAGAAAGGGUUUAUGAUGAACAUGUAUCAAUACAUGUUCAUAACGUAUCGAUACAUUUUCCCCAGAACCAAAUGUAUCGAUACAUUUCGUUGAUUUCAGAAAAAUAAAGGGGGUAAAAAUAUAUUUUCACACCCUAGCUUAUAAAUAUAUCACAUUUUUUGAGGGUUGGCAACCUUCAGCUGCAUUUGCAAGGUAAAACACCUAUUCUUAAGCUCUUUCAACAUAUUUUUAAUCUAAAAUUCCAUUUUUAUGAUUUUAAGGCUUAGAUUUGGGUUUUUAUGGAAAAAGAUGACAGUUUUUGCUUUUAAAUCUUUUAGCUUUAGAUUUUCAUAACUUAAAUAGUUGUGUUAUCGCCCAAACUUUCUGCUUGUGAUUUAAGUUUAAAAGUUUUAUGUUUUGCUUAAGCAUUUAAGCUCACUUAAGGUAAAGAUGGAAGAUUUUUGGGUUUUUAAGCAUGGGUUUUAGCUAGAAAAUUAGUUUAGCCAAAGUCGAGUACUUUUGAAAGUACAUAGAAUGAUUAUUACGAAAUUCUUAUUCUAGGAAAUGAUUGUGAUGAUUGUUGUUUUAUAGGAACACUUGAAAACUCCACAGAUAAUGCCGAAAAGGAGUUGUGAUUAGAGUUAGAUAUCGACUCGACUCUCCAAUUAGGUGAGUGGAGACACCACUUUCAAAUUAUUUUGAUAUGUAAAGCUAGCAUGAUUUUGAUGAAAAAGAUUAUUUAUGCAUGUUGAAAUUAUAUCUCUAAAUUGGUUAUCAAAGGAUUUGAGAUUUUAGAAUGAAAAUGAUUUUCUAGAAAAUAAAUUCAUAAUGAUUGUGAUGUGAUUUACUCAAUGGAUUUUUAAAAUGUUUAUGAAUCUACUAUGUAUGUAAAAACUUUACUACGUAUUAGUUUUCAACAAGGGAAGGCAAGCACCUUAUGUUUGAAGUCCACUUAAUUACCUUGGUCUUCGGACUAGUGCGGGUACAAGAUAUUGUAUGCUUAUUUAUAGAUGCUAUAAUAUGCAUGUUGGUAUGAUGAAUGUCAUAAGAUUAUGUAUAUGAUGUGAAUUCCAUAUACCAUAUGAGAUGAUCAAGUAUGCAUAAUGUAUACUACAGGAUGGUGUAUAUGAUGUAAAUUCCAUAUAUCAUAUGAGGUGGUUUAGUAUUCAUGAUUAAUGCCAUGAGAAUAUGUAUACUAUGUAUAUUCCAUAUACUACAUGAGAUGAUUAAGUAUGCAUGAUUAAUGCCAUGAGAAUAUGUAUAUGAUGUAUAUUCCAUAUACUACAUGAGAUGAUUGAGCUAGCAUAAAUGCCAAGAGAUUAUGUAUAUGAUAUAAAUUCUACAUACCUUAUGAGAUGAGUAAGCAUGUAUGUGAAGGACAUUCCACAUACCACAUGCUACGAGUAUGAGAACUCAAAGAGAUUGAUUGAUACCACUCUCACAGGGUGCAAGUGACGACUUCACUCUUAUGAUGCAUCAUAAAAUGCCCAAGGUGCAAUGGGGAUAUAUGUUACCAGCCCAAGGUGUAAUGGGGAUGUACAUUGCUAGCCCAAGGUUGAUGGGGGUCAAACCAUCACAAUGUAUGAGUUUUAAUGUUAAUGAAAUGAUCAUGGUUGUUAAGUUUAUGGUAUGUUGUAUGUUGAGUUCAUUUGAGUAACGUUUAUGGUUUAUAUUUUAUGAGGGCAUGAGAAUGUACUUAAUAAGAAGAAUUGAGCCCUAAAGAUUAUAACACCCUAUGACCUAAAACGGUAGCUAAUAUGACUUUAAGGAUAAGAUUAAUCCCAAUUGACGUUAAUUAAGGAGUUUAUGAGGGUAAAGGAGGAUAGGAAUAUUUUGAAAUAAAAUAUUCCAUAUGUGAUAAAAUAAUAAUAUUUUAUUAAGGUCAUCGUUAUGGAGUAAAGAUGAGUGAUGGAGCUAAACCAGCAUAAAUUAAAAUGUUUUGGAACAUUAGAAGCCAGAUGGAAAAUUUUGAAAUUAAAUAAUAUUUUAUUAGUAAAAUAUUAUUAAAAUAAUAUUGAUAUAUUUCUAUUGUGAGUGAUGGACAAACUCACAUAAUUUGAGCAUUGAACUUAAGUGGGGGAGUUAUAAUAUAGUUUUGAUGAUUUGAUGAAUAAAAUAUUAUUUUAUUGAUUAUAGAAUAUUAAUUUAAUGAGUGAAAUUUUAGUGAUAUAAGUAUUAAUAAUAGUAUAUGUGAGUUUGGAAGGAAUGGAGACAUGGAGAACUAAUUGAGAUAAUAAGGAUAUGUGGGAUAAUGAAAUGUGCAUGUGGAUUCACUAUUACAUGCAAAUUAUUGCAUGCAAAAAGGUGAAAGUUGGUGGGGAACAUGUGAGACCCCCACCAUGUGAAGUAAAAAGAAGAAUAAGAAUAAAUCCUAUUGAAUAUAAUAAGAUUGGUGUAUUAAGUGGCCAAAUGAGGAAAAAAAAGGUGGGAUGCAUGUGACUUGAAUAGCUUAAUAAAUGACUAAAUAAAAUAUAAGGUAAAGGUUAUGCAUGAAAUAUGAUUGGAUGAAUAAGGUGGUGCAUGAAAUAAAGAAUGAAAAAAGAAAGGAUGAGGUGGUGAAGAUGGCAAAUGGAGAAGAUAAAUGAAGAUAGAUAUUAGGCCAAUGAACAAGGGAGAAAAUUGGUAAAUGAAAAUUGAGUGGGUGAUGAAUUGGUCUAAUGAGAAGUGAGGAAUAAAAUAAAGAAGAGAAAGGUGGGAAAGGCUUGGGAAACCCAUGUCUUUGAAAGGACAGAGAGAUAAAGGAUCAGCCUUGAGAGCUCUACCCAAAAGGAAGGCAAAGAGAAAGAAGAAAAGAGAAAGGAAAGGAGAAAAAGAAAGAGGGGUCGGCCUGGAGAAGUUGGAGAAAAACUGAAAGGUUUCCUCUUAUACGCCAUUGUUGAAGCUUGAAGAAAAAAAUAUUGGUGGUUCAACUUAGUGAUUCAAGGGUAAGGAAGGUAAAAGCUGUCAUUUUGCUUGAAUGCAUGCCAUGUGAACUUAGUUGUGAUGUGAGAUUGUGCUUGUGGUAGCAAGGAUCUUUAAGGAUUCAAAGAACCGGGGUGCAUGCAUGUGGGUUAAUCUUAAAACUAUGGUGAUUUAAAGUAAGACAAAUGAUAGGUACGUGUUUUUAACCUUGAGAUCAUAAGUGGAAAGGAAAACAAAAUGAAAUGUGUAUUGAUUAUUUGUGCUUGUGGCAGCAAUGGUGACUGAGGAUGUGAGAAGUUAUUAAGUUGCAUGUGGAAUUCAAUGUAAAUCGGAAGCUAAGCAUGCAAUGUGGGUAUGCUAUGUUAUAUUGGGUUAGUUAGUUGAAAGUUUAUAGAUUGCAUGUUAGAUUAUUGUGAAUGAUAAAGGUGGAAAAAUGUGAAUUUAGAUUAAAAAUUCACUGAUUAAGUUGCUGACGUAUAUGUGUACAAUUGAAUAUAAACACAAAAGUAAACAUAAUAAGAGAGGUUGACUAUUGUGAGGGAUUCUUAAAAAUAAAGAGAACUAAGAAUAUGGUAUAUAGGGCAGCAAAUAUGAGCCAAAUUGUGGUGACGUUCACUAAGUAUAUUAAGUUUAAUUUGCAGUUAGGAAGUGUACAAGUUAGGAAAGAUUGCUGUGGUGGUGUACCGGAAGAGGUGACGGGUGACCGACAAGUAAAAUUAGCUAGAGGCUCCCCCAAUCAAUGGUGAAGUAGCAUCUUGCCAUUGUGAGGUGAGUAAGGGGUAUCUAUUUUUAAAAGUUCCAUAAAUUAUAUAAUAACAUACGUAUAAUAAACGUUGCCAGUUUUCUUUAAAUGCAAUUGUGGAUAGCAUGAGUUGUUAGUUCCGGUAAGCGAUUUCUAAAUUGAUUUGCGAUUGAAUUAUACUCGCAAUUGUGGAUAGCAUAUGCUGGUAGAAUGCUAGGCGCUUGUGGAUGCCAUGUUUUUAAACGUUUUGUAUAUAUAUAGGCUAUAUAUGUAAGGGGUUUUAAAAAUCAGGAAACAAACUCUUUGCCAUGGUUUAUGUCAAAACGUGCCUUACUUGUCUUUGUGAUGUGCAUUCAUGAAUAAGCUUUAUGUUCACCAUGCUUGAUUUAAUAUUUAAAUCUCAUGCAAAGGUUUUACAUCGUGAAUUCUUACAAAUAGAUUUAUAACGUUGCCAUGGCUUGUUUUUGAAAUGGGUUGGUAAUAAGCUUUAAAAACCCCAAAUUUGGUUAUAAAUGGUUUUGUCAAACCGAGAGAUUCAAGAGUAGGCCGAAUUUCACAUUGGAAUAGUGUGACCUUUAUGCACAAGUGAGCUCUAGCUAGAGAACCUUUGGGUCACUGAUGGGUUGUUAGACGUGGAUAUGUCACGACCCAAAUUUCAGGUCAUGACUGACGCAUGGGUCCAAUGGACGUAGUCCACUAAGCCCAAGCAAGCCUUUUAAUAUAACCUUUUCACCAUUUCAUUAAAAGUUAUAACUUUGAUUCAAAAUAAUACUAAACAUUGCCAUCUCAUAGUGGCAUACCAAUCAAAGAGUACAUAUAUUAUCUAAACAUAAUUUAAUAAUUUACAUCGGUUUGUCUAUACACAACAAAAGAGUACUCGACUUCCAGCGGAGAGACUCGGACGAAUGUACAGUUACUCAAUACCGAGACACCUACCAAGGGUCGAAUAUACGAAGACACUUCGACCUACUUACCAGCUGCCUCGUGAUAUGAAAACAUGAAGUUGAAAACAGUGAGUAUAAACCCAGUGAGUGAACAAGAAAGGGAACAAGAAAACAUUAAGGAAUGUUUAACGAAAUCAUGAUGCAUUCAUUUUUUUAAAACAAUGCAAUUUGUUUUAGUUCUUAUUAAAACCCCUCAUGUAAACCCCACAUGAGUAAAUCACUUUAUGAAAAGGGUCAUGCUCAACAAAGGAUUUGGAGAGUGAAAACUUUAAUAGCAUUCAUUCGAAUCAGGUCAAAUAAAUGACAAGUCCUCACUGCAGCGAGAAUGAAUUUUUUCUACAUCGACACUUGACUUAUAUUAUUAACCAACCGAGGGUUUCUCACCAAACCUCCUCAUUUUAAACUUAAUUCAUUUAUUCCCUAAUGUUGGAAGUCCAUGCUCAACUAUGGUACCAAAGAAAUGGAAAAUAGGAUAGCAACCAAACCAAAUGAGGAGCAAAACAGAAAGUUUUUCACUACAGCAAGAUUAAAUCUCGCUGCAACGAAAUUUUUGGUCACAAAACAAAAAGUUUCUCGGUACAGCGAGAAGCUACAGUAACAUUCUCGCUACAACGGGAUUUCGGCCAGCACCACCCCUCCAAACCCGAGAGUUUCUCACUGCAGUGAGAUUCAAUCUCGCUGCAGCAAGAAACAGGGCACCAACAAAAAAAAUUCCCUUCCCCUUAAGAAAAAGCCAUCCUGUUGUGUUAACAAAAACAACAUGAAACACAUAUAAAUUCCCAAAAUUCAACCAGUCAAAUUCUCACAUUUUGCAUUACAACCAUAUACCAUGUAUGUAUAUAUAUAUAUAUAUAUAUAUAUAUAUAUAUACUAAUCAUCAUGCACACCCUCCCAUCAUCAUCAGCUCAUNNNNNNNNNNNNNNNNNNNNNNNNNNNNNNNNNNNNNNNNNNNNNNNNNNNNNNNNNNNNNNNNNNNNNNUGUAUAUAUAUAUAUAUAUAUAUAUAUAUAUAUAUCAAUCAUCAUGCACACCCUCCCAUCAUCAUCAGCUCAUUUGCAUCGGCUUAUGUGCACUCCCACUCGCACAUAACCGGGUCAGCAUCGGCUUAUGUACAUUCCUACUCGCACAUAGCCGGGUCAAUAUCAUUACACAAUAUUAUAUAUAUAUAUAUCAACAUAAUGUAGUAAUACAACAAUCCAUAACAGCCACAUGUCACACAUAGAGACAAUUUAUCAAAGGCUUGUUCCCAAGGCACCCGUUUGAAGAAAGAUUGAAUAAAUUGUUCACAUUCCCAAAACUAUUUUUGAAAUGCAAGUUCACUCACCGGUAUCUUGUUGAACCUUUUGUCAACUCUACUUCUCUAAUUGUCUAAAUGGGGCGAUUGGGCUUUGUUGGAACCUAUUAUCACAUUAGCAUCACCAUUAAUUCAAGCCACACACUUAUAAAUUCUAAAAGCUUUCUUUUAGCUAGCUUUCAAAUUUCCAUUUAAGUAGGUAUCUAAGUUCACUAUCUUAAUCACUCUAAAGUGAAUGAACAACCCCAACUACCAAAUCACCCCCAAGUCUAAAAACUAAUCAUUUUCAACAUUAAAAUUCAAUUCUAGUGUACUACUCACCUUGGUAGCUUGUAUUUGAAAUUCUUCUCAAAAACUUUCAAGCUAUUAUUAAAGCUUCCUCUUUCUCUCUCUAAAACACCUAACUAGUGAGAGAGAGUAUGGAAACAAGAUUUUUCAAGGGUUUUAAAGUGAGAGAGUGGAAGAGCACAAGGGUUUCUGAAAGGGUGCACCAAAAGCAUGAAAAGUGGAGCUAUUUUGAGGGAGGUUAUGGAGCUUUAUAUCAAGCUUUCAUGGAGGUUGGGAAGCAACGUGAAAGAGAAGGAGAAGAAGAAGAAAAGCUACUGGAGAAUGUAGAAGUUGCUGAAAGAAAGAGAUAUUUAUAGCCCAAGCUUAUCCACUCCAUUUAAAUUACCAAAUUGCCCCUCCAUAAAUUAGCUUAUUCUCUUUCAAUCUUUUAUGAAAUCUUUUACUUUUUUGACACUGGGACAAGGUCUAUAAUGGUCUAGAAAUGCUCGGGUUCAUGAAAACUUAAAAAUUCUAACCCGAGGAGAAAUAUGACCAUUUUGCCCCUACCAUGAAAAUCAUCAAAAUUUUUGUUUCCUUGUCAUUUUAUCAAUAUUUUCAUCAUUCAUUUAUGCCUUAGGCCUACUUAGGCCAUAAUAUUGUUUAAAAAUCUUACUUUUAUGAGCUUACUAAGGAAAUAACGAAAUUACCCUUGAUCAGGAAUAUAGCGUUUAUUACUAACUAUCGGCUUAUGAAGGUCAAGGUCUCACAAGCUAGGCCAUGGUUUGUGAAAUAUACGUGGCAAGGCCACAGGUUGAUAUACGUGGCUAGGCCACGAGUUGAUAUACGUGGUUGCGACCACAUGAUUUCUACAAUGUUGGCCAACAUCGUUAAGACUGCCAUGGUUGUGGGAAUCCGUGGAGGGGGGCCUAUCAGAUGUUAUUACGUGAAAGCGGGUGAUGGGUUUGGCUAUGGAUGGCAUACUCAAAAUACGCAGCGGAAAGAAAAUUAAAACUGUAUAACUAAACAACCAAAACAUGCCUCCACCCAUGGAUCACCUUAGUGAUAUUUAACACAUAAAAGCACAAAAUAAAUUUAUCAUAGCCCAAAACCCGGGCCAUGAUCGGCAUAUGGGCCCAAUACCCAUAGCCCACCAGGCCCAAGCAAGCCUCUCUAUGUAAACCCUUCAGUAGUCCAUCUAUCACUUCUUUUUCUUUAGGAUUUAAGACUCGUGAUUUCUAAUAACAAUCUCUUUAAAUUUAAAUUGUGAAAAUCAAGUACAUACAAAGUUCAUAACAAAUCUCACAAUUUGUUAUAAACAUACAACUGACCCUUGACAAGCAGCAGAGUGACUCUGGGUGUGGGUGCUAUCAUUGAGAGUUGUAGUGAACCUACCGAAAGAUGAAUAGGAGGGAGCACCUCAACCUAGGAUCCAACUACCUUCGAUCUUGAAAACUAAAACAUGAAGUUGAAAAGAAUGAGUAUAAACCCAGUGAGUGAACAUAGGAAGGGAACAGAACAAGCAAAACGAUAUGGAAGAUUUUUAGAAAACAUGAUGCACUUGUAUUGAAACCAUGCAAUUUUGUAUAUCAUAAACAAACUCAACGCCUUCUUGACUUUUAACUCAUUUUAAAACAUUUAGGAAAUUCAACUUUCAACAUUCAAUGCAAUCACAUUUCAAACAUGCAUGAAACACAUAAAGGUCAAUCCCAAUUAGACAACAUGGCUCAACGUAUACAACCACCAUCUUCAACUUAGCUCAUGUGCACUCCCACACCGCACAUAGCUAAUAUCCUCAUGUGCACUCCCACACCGCACAUGGAAAAUAUCAUCAUGUGCACUCCCACACUUCACAUGGCAUAUAUCAUCAUGUGCACUCCCACACCGCACAUGGCAUAUGUCAUCGGCGUGUGUUCUCUUACACCACCCACUAUCGGCACCGUCAUGUGCACUCCCACACCGCACACGCACACGCACGGUUAUAAUUAUCAUUCAACAUUACAUUUCAAUGCAUGGCACACAUAACAACAUGUAACAAAAAUCUUUGCAUAACAAUACAUCACAUGCCACAAUUCAAUUGACAAUUCACAAAAUAUUUCAAAUCGUAAUUCAUCACAUUAUACGUUUAAAAAUGAAGAAGUAUCACUUGUGAAAAGCUUGGUCUCGUGCAUAAAUUUUAAAAGAGUCAACCAAGGAUAUUCUAGCAUUUCAUUCAACACAUAAGCAUUUGUUCAAAACCUUUUGAAUGCAAGUUUCCUCACCUUAAUAAUGUCACCUUACAAAACUAGCACCCACAAGAUCCUAAUCCAAGUAAGUCCUGAAAUACCAUUAGAACCUCUAUUUACAUUAAACCAUGACAGCCUCAAAUAAGUCAUGAAUUUGAACUUAAAAAUUCUAACAAAUAUACUCUAGCUAAAUUGCAUUUUAACCUAACCUUUAAUCUAGAAUUCUAGUCUAAUUCACAAACCCAUUAAAUUGACUAUUCAAAUUUAAGGUUUCUUUACCUUGAUGAGCUUGAAGGCACAAAGAUCAACAAAAACCUUUUGGCUUUAAAAAUAAAGAUUUGAAGCUGAAAAUUCAAGUGUUGAUGAAGGUGGAGUAGAAAUAUAAAAUGAAAGAAAGAAAGAGAGAUUUUUCUCUCUCUCUCUCUCUCCUAGGAUUUAGAUGUGCUGAAAAAAUGGGGUUAGAAGUUGUGGUUUUGGUGCACAAUAAGGUAGGAGAAGGAAAAAGUAAGAAAAUAAAUGAAAGGAAAAGAAAGGAAGGAAAAGAAAAUGAAAAAUUUGAUUUCCAUGGUGGUAAGGUGAAAAUGGCGUGGGAGAAUGAAGGAGAAGAAGAAAAUAUCUUUUGGGUGGAUAAGAACCGGUCAUGGGAGAAGAAGAUAAGAGUUGGAAGCUUUGACCAAACUAAUGGUAAAAUUACCAUUUUACCCUUUAAGGUUUUUUUUCCUUUUUUAAUUAAGUCCUCCCACAAUCUUUUAAUUCCAAUUUCUUUCUAUUUUUCCUCCUUAACACUUGUACCAAUAAAAUAUCAAGUUCGCACUUCAAUGCGGUAUCACCAUAAUAUUUAAAUAUAUACUUACCCGUGCUAACUUUAUUUAAUAAAGACACGCGGGUCCCACUAAUGUCAUUUUUCUCCUAAAUUUCCUUAUCUUUUUUCUCCCCCAUUUAGAUUGACCAUAUACUCCUCCUUCAUGACCAAUUUUGACACCGAAUAAAAUAUUAAUAUUUUAAUAAUAUUUUAUUAAUAAAAUAUUAUUUUAUUUCAAAAAUUUUCACUUGUCUCCUUGGUACCCAAAAUGUCAUAUUAUGCCCUGAUUCACUUCCGAAUCACUUUUUAUCUCACUAAUUCAUCUUUAAUAAAAAUAUUAUUAUUUAAUUGUUAUUCUUCGCGUGUAGAAUAUUUUAUUCCAAACUAUGUUUUUCACCCUUCAUCACUUUUAAACACUCUAAUUAACCUUAAUUGGCAUUCGAUAAGCUUUAUUAGCCAACAUAUCAAAGUACGGAGUGUUACAAAAUUAUUAUUUAAAAAGUUACCUUGCCAAGUAAUUUUGUAAUCACAAUGGCACUUUUCGAAGCAAUCCUGCGAACACCACAAGGAGCAAAAACACUAGCCAAUCAAGUGCUUGGCCUUCAACAGUAGUACACACGAUUGCACCUGAACCUUCAACAAAGGAAGGAGUUUUUAACUAUGCUUUUUCUAGCAAAGAGGACAACAAUUGUCCUUUUCUUUUUUUUCACAAUCUUAGCCGAACCUCUAUUGAAAAUUGCUUCAUAAGCAAAUUUUUUGCCACACAAAGGGAAUAGUGGCAAAGAGAGAAAAUGCUUUUCUUUUUUUGACAAAAACUAUUUCUUCAAUUGUGAAAAACUCUCAUAUGGAAAAUAGUUAAAAGGUGACUUAUAUAGUUAGGUUAAAAUAGCUUCAAUUUUGCAAUUAAGCACUUUAUAUUAUAACACAUCAUAAUAUUAGGCCCAUUACUUAAUUAAACUCUUUUAAUUAAGUCCUUGAAAAUUAAAAUCAAAAUUAAUUUCCUUUAUAUUUUGUAAUCAAGGCCUUAUAAUUAUAACUAUUUAUAAUUAUGUCUAAAACUUAAUUAAACUUUUUUAAUUAAGUUUAUAGAAGUUAAUUACCUAGCAUGUGAUUUAAGUCUAACUUAAAUCAUCACUCUCCAAAUUUAAUUCAAAUGAAAUCAUUGUGUUUGACCCAUUAGGUUCCCAACAUGUUGGCAAUGGAAUUGAUUAAUAUAAAUUUCAAUCAAUUCCAUAAAUCAAGAUUGGUAUCUAGCAAUGCAUCAUGGCUACCCAAUUGUUAGGAGAGUUAAAAGGUUCUUUGACAACCUUUCGGCAUACAGUCUAUCAGUGUAAUUCAUUCUCUCAUCAUCUAUCUCAGAGAUGAUAAGAGCUUGGUACAAUUUCUACUCUUAUUGGCCUCCAUAUUUGUUCCUACAAUUAUAACAUUAGCUUUAUAAAGAGUUAUGAAACCUUUUUUUCAUAAUCUCCAUGUCCUCUUAGCCAAGGACUUCAAUAAACUAAUGUUAACGAAGAACUGAUAGGAUAUGUCCUCUAAAACACUUGAGGUGAUGAUUCCUAUCUUGACCACUCAUUUGCCUUCACAUGCUUCAUACUAUACCCAAAAGCAUCAUAUUUUGGCAUUCUUGGUUAGGCACCCAUAAUGAUGAAAUUAAAGCAUAACACUUCACAUAUAAGACAACCUGGUAUCUCAAGUCUAGGGAGUAUUUACAUGACUGACACAUGAGAAGUGUCGCAUAGACACUAGAGUGUAUUACUAAAUGCACUUCUCAUGACGGGUCAUGUUCAAUGAACUUGCUCUCUAAGGCAAGCACCUAUAUUCUAGUUCUAAGUAUCUUUAUGCUUCAAUUUAUGAGAUCGAUUGCUUAUUUCCAAAGUAAGGAACAUAUAAUGUAUCGGUCUCUAAGCAUCAUUGAUGUCUAGUCUCAAUGAUACAUUGACCAGAAAUAUUUUGAGAUUAUGCUUUGAUGCAUAAGGAUCUCAUAACUGCAACCCAUUAUAGUUCCUUUGCAAGGCAUAUUAAUCUUAUGGAUUUCAUCCAAUUAGACUUAUAACUCAUUAUAAUUGAUGUCUGAUUGAUUAAGGGAAACCUUUAAUCAUUCAACAUGAAUGAUACUAUUGCAUGAUUGGAAUUAAGCCUUAACCAAUCCUAAUUGCUAUAAGGCUCAUCCCAACAACGAGUCCACGAGUUGUUUAUUUAUAAUUACCUAUUUGAGAGUGAUAUCUUUUUGAGUUUUCAAAUACAUAUUCUUUCGUAUUGUGAGAAAUACUAUUUUUUUCGCGACUCCUUUAUUUAUAUGAUGGUUUUGUGUUUAAUACCUCAAGUAUGAGUUCAUUCAUAUGCUUGAGUAUAAGCAUUGACAUUGCUUGAUUUUGUGGGAGUGUGCAUGCUUAUGUUAGUUUGAUUUUGAGUAAAGGACAUUAAAUGAUUUUGAUGUAAGAAAUCUUUUAAUUGCACCAGUUUUAAUAUAUUACAUGAAAUGGUUACUUUGCAUCACAAUUCUUUGGUAUUUAUGCAAGGCACAAAUGUUCCAUUUGAGUUCAAAUUGUUUAUAUAUUCAUAUGUUUUUUAUAUUCAAAUUUUCUAUCCUUGGCUUGUUUCCCAUCUACACCCUGCUCACGGAGCCGAUGAUCACUGAGUCUAUGAGACUCACCCCCCUUAUCUUCCCCUUUUUGCAGAUAAGUGAUCAGCUCGCAUGUAUUGUUUCAACAUAUUUUGAUUCGUUGCGACGUAGGUAAUGGCAUCUCUUAGACUUCCACUCCGAGUUGCUCCAUUGCAUAGCUGUCAUGUUUGUGUAAGAUGGUCGGUUGUAUAAAAAAAUUAGUUUAUUAGAAUUGUAUUAUCGAACAACCUUGAUGUUGUGUGUUGGAUGCUAAAUGUGAUGUAUGAAUGUAUUUUGAAAUUUGUUAGAUUUGGAGAUUGAUAUCUAUUUGUCGAUUUUAAUUGAAGUUUCUUAUUUGGUUUAAGUAAACAAUAAUAUUUAUUAUACAAGUUGGUAGAAUUUUUAAUAGUCGUCAAAACGCGAACUAUUAUAAGGAAAUCUGAGUUGAUUAAUUUACGCAUUAAAAUGCUCGAUUUAGUUAACAAGAAUAUCAAUUAAGGCUUGUUCGGGAUUCGACGGGUUCUCCCAUAAGUCUUGGCUGUCAGUAACGAUCGAGAAGAGGGUCGUUAUAGACUUGGUAUCAAAGCCUUAGGUUUAGUUGACUCCUAGGAAUUUGCAUGUUAGGCAACAAAGUAGUGUGGUCAACGUAGAGUCUUACUUAUAGUUAGUGAUUGCAACACCGAUUAUAGGCAAGAGGCUACGUAGACUUCUUUAUACAUAUUAGAAAACCACCUUGUAUAAUUAUAAGAGAUGACUAAAUGAUGAGAAUUGAUUACUGAUGUCCAAGUUUGAGAUGCCACUGUGAACUUGAGCAUCUUUGAGGGCUACUGGUGACCUAGACGCGCUUAAAGAGACGAAUGAGCAAUUAUGGGUUUUUGCCUCUCAAAGUUGGGGCUGUACUAAAACCAGGGGGAGAAGGAGUUCCUGACAUGCAAGUGAUUGUAGUUCGAGUGAUCGACGGAGUGCUAGUACGGAUAGCACUGGGGUUGGUGGACCUACUGUAAAAGACACUACUUUGGAUGAGUUAGUUGUCGGAUUGCAAAAUUUGACCCAAUAGUUUACAUGAUUUACUAGGCACUGUGCUGGUGUAUUCGAAGAGUAUAUGGGUUCAAGUUCAUAGGAUCUAGUUUAUGACCCAAAUACAAAUAUGAUAUAUAACGAAGAGCAAGAUGAGGAGGACGAGGAUUGUUUGAAUUAUGAUGAAGAAGAUGAAUAAGUUUUGUUGUCUAUAUUUAUGAAGUUAAAACCUCCAUCAUUCACUGGUUCCACUAUGAGAGAGGAUCCACAUAGAUUUUUGGACACCAUGGAAAAGAUUUGUCACGCUUUAGGAGCUUCAAGUAUGAGGUCAGUAACAUUGGCUACUUUUCAUCUUGAGAAUGUAGCAUAACUGUGGAUUACGUCAUACAUGUAGGGUAAACCUAGUGAUUUUGGUUCGCUUGGUUGGAAGGAAUUUGAUAAAGCCUUCAUGGAUAGAUUUAUGCCUCGUAGUGUGCGAGCGGCUAAGGCUAGGGAGUUUGAGGCCUUGAAACAAACACUCGGGAUGAUGGUAUUUGAAUGUGAUGUGCAAUUUACUCAAUUGUCUAGAUACGCCACAUACCUUGUAUCUUUUAAAGAAAUGAGGGUGAAUCGAUUUGUAGCUGGACUGUCCGAGUAUCUAUUUAGAGCUUUUGUUCCACAACGAUUCGAUUCAUAUUCCGAUGUAGUGGAUUGUGCUUGAUUAAUAAAGGGUCGUAGUAUGGAGGUUAAGGAACUUCAUGAAAAUACCGAAAAGAAUAAAACUGAAGGACAGACUAGUCAAAGGAGCACCAAUCGAGGAAUAACUUUUAGAAGGUUGAGUCGACUGGGUCAAAAGGAUGCUGUUCAAAAUAUAGGGCAAGUGUCAACUGGAUCUCAAGGGUUGAAGAGAAGUCCCUAGUUUAAUAGUUCCCCUCGUCUUAUGGAGUAAAUAUUCGUGAAAGACCCUGGUAGUGGAAUGACUAACCCCAAUAGUCGAUUGAUGGCCUAUAGGAAUCCUUACUGUGUACGUUAUGGUGUUACACAUGUGGGGCCAUGUGCUCAGUCAUUUGAUGUAUGCUUUAAUUAUGGUCAAGUGGGACAUAUGAGAAAGGAUUAUACCUAUGAAGGGAAGUCGCAAGGAACUGGUCGUGGAUUCAUUCAACCGGCACCCGAUUGACACUCAUUAUUCGAAAUGCCAACCGGAACCCCGCAAGGCUUAUAUAUCAGUUUCUUUCCUUUCCUGUGAGCAAUCGUUGUUAAAUAUCAAGUUUUUAGAGAAUAUACACUAUUUUAGAUCAAAAACAAUCAAAAUAAAAUUUUCGCCACACAUUGGUAUUCUGGCUAAAACGUAAUAUGCAAGUACAAAAUACAUAAUUCAUAUUCAAAAUGAGUUUAAAAAUCUAAAAUCUUCAUUUAAAACGAAAUUAUGGUUAUUUGAAUAUAAUAAGAAAAUAAAAGAAAUAUUAAGGGAAAUAUUCUAUUUUCUUAUAAAAUAAUAUUUAUAGAGUUAUACGUGAAUAACUUUUAUAGCGUAAUAGCUAAAUAAAUUUAUACAUACUGAAAUAUAGUAAGCCAAAAUAUUUAAUUUAAUUUACAAUAACAAGAGGGACCCCGAAUAAACAAAAAUAAAGAGGACUGUUAACCUACGGUUUGGAAAAUGCAGAUCCGUAGUAGAGAUGCGAGUUUUGUGAGGACAAUUGCAAAAGUUAGGGGGGAAAGGAUUUAUUCGUCUAAGUACUUGGCCAUUGGGAGCUCCGGUAUUAUUUGUAAAGAAAAAGGAUGGAAGUUUGAGGUUGUGUGUGGAUUAUCGAAAAUGGAAUAGUGUAACUAUCAAGAAUAAAUACCCACUUCCUAGGAUCAAUGUCACGACCCGGUACUCCCCUCGAGCCCAUGACAAUCGCCACGAUGUCCCGAUCGACACUCAUUACCCGGAAUGUCAAUCAGAACCCCGUAAGGCUUUAAUAUUAGUUUCUCAUUUCCUCUGUGAGUAACCGUUGCCAAAUAUCAUGUUCUAAAAGAUUUUAAAUUAUUUCCAACUUAAAUCAAUAAAAAAAUGAUUUCUGUCUCACAAGGGCAUUUUGGUCAUUUUUCCUCGAAAAUUUUGAAACCAGCUAAAAUUGUAGUAUGCGAGUAUAAAACACAUAAUUCAUAAUCAAAAUAAGUUUAAACGUCUAAUACCUUCAUUUAAAAUGAAAUUAUGACUAUUUGAAUAUAAUAAAAAUAUUCAAUAAAAUAUUCUAUUUUUUUAUAAAACAAUAUUUAUAGAGUUACUGGUAAAUAAUUUUUGUAGCGUAAAAGCUAAAUAAAUUCAUACAUAUUAUAAUACAAAUAACCAAAGUAUAACAUUUAAUUUACAGUGACACGUGGGCCCACGAACGACCAAAAGUAUCAAAAGCGGUAAACCUACAAUUUUUGAGGAUGCAAGUCCAACUGUAGCCCUCAACGAAAUGAGCUAUAUACCGACUAGCCUGAGCCUGAAAUAGGUGGAAAGGAGGGUGAUGAGAUUAUAUAAUCCCAGUGAGUAAACAAAUACCAUCUAAAAUAUCUAAA
rnacentral:lncRNA from 1 species